rnacentral:lncRNA from 1 species
GGCGGCGGAGGGGUGAAGCCGCUGCCGCACAAGCAGGUUCCGCAGCCCAGCGAUGUGUACAACCCGGAGCUCGAGCGCCUCUAAGCUGAAGCUAAUUUAUAUACCGAGUAUUGUGUAGUAGCUUGCAUCUCGCCUCUUGGUUAAUCGUAAGCUAAUAUACUUCGAGAAUUUUGUCUCUGUUUUGCUAAUUGUUUACCGUUUGAGAUGUGAGGCCUGAGUGUGAACGAUAAUUUACAAAUUUCACCAAAUAAAUGAUGUAGUACUCCUUGUCAGAGCAUCAGCCGCGGUCACCUAAUUUGAAUCCCUAUACUCCUGCGCCCGGACGCGUCUGCUGAAGGUGACCGGACGGACAUCAUUUCUCCUGUUCAAUUUCUACAAUUUCUACGUACUUCAACAUAGCACAUAGCAAUCCGGCAUAGAUAACAUAGUUCGAUAAUUCGAUACAAAAGAUGUUGCAAUCCGGCAUAGAUAACAUAGUUCGAUACUUCAAUACGAAAGAUGUCGCGCAAAUUCAUCGCUAACAGUAUUAAAAAUCAACUAGUUGUACUUGGCAGGACCCAUGUCAGACGAGCGCGGGGCGCCACUGAGCUGAUGUUGCUGCUGCCCACCCAGCCAGUCGUCGACGCCCCGAAAGAGCUGUCACCCCAAUCCAGCAGCGACCAGCGGAGGGCAAUGCGGAGCGCUAACUCCUCCUCCGAUGGGUCGGAUUCACCGUCGAACAUGACGGACGAAGGCAACGCGGAGCGCUAGCUCCUCCUUUGAUAGGUCAGAUUCACCGUCGAAAAUGAUGGGCGGGGGAAGAUGAAGUGGUUUGGGGGAGAACUGAAGAGGUGGAGUGAGUACGGACUGAGUUUGAUUAGGAUUUGCUUCGAUCGUCAUAUAUUUCGUGGGGCUGGAGUGGAGUCAUUUUGGGCCAUAACGUUCACGAGUGUGCCCGGACAUUCCAUAUCCGUUUCAUAUUUAGGCUGGAUAUGAGGGGUGUCGGUCAGCUUGGGCAUUUGACCUGUUUGAGACGCUCGCUUGGAUUGAAAUUUGGUGACCGGAAGGUCCGCCAGGGCGAUUAAGACGGUUUUGAGGCGCCCGGCUGUAGGUGCUCUCAGACCUCAUUCAGUAAAAAGAAAUCUCGUUUGACCUAGAUCUAAAAUUUACUUUUGUUUACGUGGGGAGAUGUCUAGCCACUUCCAAAUAACUCUAUUUCAAUUAACUAGAUAAAUACCUCGCGAGUUACUGCAGGAAUAAGUUAAAAAUUCUAUUUUUCAUAAGAUUUGAUUGUGUGAAAUACAAAUAUUUAAAUUAAUAACACGUUAAUUAAAAUUAAAAACACACAGGACUUAUUAUAUUUGAUUGUGUAAAUUAGUAAAACGUUUGUUGAAUAUAAGUAGAACAAUAGAUGAAACUAUUUUUCCUUGCAUCUUGCAUGUGGUGGUGGAGCUUUUCUCAUGCAUGGUUGCAUAUUGAGGUUAGCAUUAUCCCAUUCCUAAUUAUAAGGUUGAGAUAAAUUAUUGUUUCACUCUUUUAGAUAUAUAAAUUAUAUUUUAUUUAACAAAGUUUAUCAUUAGUAAAGUAAACAAAUAUAAAGUAUAGAUGAGACUAUUACUGCAUGUGCAAAUCUAUUUGUUUUUAUCUACUUGUGUUAUAAUAAUUUGAGACAUACAUCAAUCUAUUGAGAUAUCCAAAUUGUGUCGAUCCAUCAAGGAUAAACAGUCACAUAUGCAUGAAAAUGACAUUGUGAAUUUUUAACAAGGUUCAUCAACAUGGUUACACCUGCAAGACAACAUAGCUACAUCUUUAUAGCAUGAUUGCACAACCAACGAUAAGUCCAUUGAGGCCAGCAAACCGACGCUUCGACCAUGUGUCACGACCAAAUUGGUCACCCAUGCCAAGCAUGACCACACAACCGAUGAUAAGUCCGUUGAGGCCGUCAAAUCAACGCUUCGACCAUCCGUCAUAAUCGGUUCGUUCAUCCUUGCCAAGCAUGGCUGCACAACCAACGAUAAGGUCGUUGAGACCAUCAAACCGAUGCUUCAACCAUCCGUCAUGAUCGGUCCGUCUGGUCACCCUUGCCACGGAGGCCCGUACCGCCUCGCGAUCUUUGUUUAGCCUACUAGCUUGUCUCUAGUCUAUUUGGCUACCCCGUGACGCCUUUAUAUAAUAAGACGGGAUUACACUGCCCGACUCAAACACGUCAUCUUUUUCAAAUUACUUUGGCUACCCCGUGACGCCUUUAUAUAAUAAGACGGGAUUACACUGCCCGACUCAAACACGUCAUCUUUUUCAAAUUACAAGUUUAAUUGUAACACAAUUCAUAAAUACACUUCCCCUUGACGAAUAUGUACUCUUCAUGCGUGAAUCUCGGUGUUACUUAAACUUUGACCAUUAAUCAUGAGCUCCACUGCUACUUUCUUGACUUCACAUGACUUGACCUACAACAUAGUCGCUUCUUUUUCUCAGUGACAUUCAAAGCAGCCACAACAAUUGAGUUUGUUUGCACUCUUGUUUUGUGUUCCUAAUAUCCCGAGUGUGUCUUCACUCUUGUUUGGUGUUCCCAAUCUCUGAAGUAUCCAUCCAACACCAUCAUACACCGACCAUAGAGUCAUCAAAUCUGUCAACGAUGUUAUAUUGUCAUCAUGUUAGCAUCUUCCAUGAUUUACAUGAAAGUGGACAACUUGCAUAUUGCCACAACAAGAAUUUUGAAAUCACCGUCCUUGCUAUUAUUAACUGCAUGUCUGAAUUUGAAGGAACUUUACGUUGCUCUUUAGCCAUCUCAAUUCAAAUUCACAGUUGUCUCACAUUUAUUCUGAAUAGUCUUUAACAUGCCCCACAGCUAUAGCACCUUGUCUCCUUCUACAUAGGUAAAUCAUACUUACCAUGUGCACAAAAUAUCACAGAAUAUACGAUCAAUUACUUUUCAAGAUUUUGACAUUCAAAUUUUCCAACACGUUCUCAGAUUGUCCAUAGUCAAUAUUUGAUGCGUCAAACUUGAUAGAUAUAGUCACCAACUUGUAGCUGGCACUCACGACACAGUUUCAACACUAUCUGCACAAUUUGUAUGACCAUAUAUCUGACCACUAAUUUCUUGGUCUGUUGAUGUAGCCCGUGCUUACCGCACACCUCAGCGUUAUUACCGUGCCAAGUCUCUGCUAUCCCGGUCGAAUCUCGUGGGUCGCUAACUGAUACGUCCAUUUUGCAUCAUGUUUUCCUACUGUUAUUUAUAGUGCUUUAAUCAAUAUAACACUUUAUGGAGAAAUUCUAAUGCCUUUUCUAUCUUAAUAUGCAAGAUUUACAUGAAGAGGGAGAUUGCUGGCACCUGGAAUUCUGGACUUGAAAAAUCUAUGUUAGAGAUGUCUAUUCUGCACAUCUCCAAAUGAGUUGAAAUUUCACGGAGAUUGAUUUUGGAAUAAAUAAAAAAUAUUGGAGCAAAGAAGUACCAGAGGGGGCCACCCAGGUGCCCACGAGGCACUAGGGCGCGCCCACCCCCAGGGCGCGCCCUGGUAGCUUAUGGGACCGCUGGCCAGCCUCCUGUGCCCAUCUUUUGGUAUAUAAGCUCAUUUGCCCUAGAGAAAUAUAAGGGGAGUACUUUCGGGAUGGAGCGCCGCCGUCUUGAAGCGGAACUUGGGCAGGAGCACUUUUGCUCUUCGGCGGAGCGAUUCCGCCGAGGACACUCCCUCAAGGAGGGGGAAGUCGAAGCCAUCGUCAUCACCAACAACCCUCUCAUCGUGAGAGGACCAAUCUUCAUGAACAUCUUCACCAGCACCAUCUCAUCUCAAACCCUUGUUCAUCUCUUGUAUUCAAUCUUUGUACCAAAACCUCAGAUUGGUACGUGUGAGUUGCUAGUAGUGUUGAUUACAUAUUGUAGUUGAUGCUAGUUGGUUUAUUGGGUGGAAGAUCAUAUGUUCAAAUCCAUUAUGAUAUUCAAUACCCCUCUGAUCUUGGACAUGAAUAUGAUGUGUGAGUAGUGACUUUUGUUCUUGAGGACAUGGGAAAAGUCUUGUCAUAAGUAAUCAUGUGAAUUGGGUAUUCAUUCGAUAUUUUGAUGAUAUGUAUGUUGUUGAUUCCCUUAGUGGUGUUAUGUGAACAUCGACUACAAGAUACUUCAUCAUUUUGGGCCCAAGGGAAUGCAUUGUGGAGUAGUAGUUAGAUGAUGGGUUGCUAGAGUGACAGAAGUUUAAACCCUAGUUUAUGCGCUAUUCCGCAAGAGGCUGAUUUGGAUCCAUAUGUUUAAUGCUAUGUAUAAAUUUAUCUUAAUUCUUCUUUCGUAUUUGCGGAUGCUUGCAAGAGGGGUUAAUCAUAAGUGGGAGGCUUGUUCAAGUAAGAACAGCACCCAAGCAUCGGUCCACCCACAUAUAUCAGUAGCGAACGCGAAUCAAACGAACAUGAUGAAAGUGACUAGAUGAGAUUCCCGUGAGUCCUCAAGAACGCUUAGCUUAUUAUAAGAGAUCGUUUCGUCCUGUCCUUUAUAAGGAAAAGGAUUGGGCUACCUUGCUGCACCUUAGUUACUAUUGCUACUUUUCACUUGUUACAAAUUAUCUUGCUAUCAAACUACUCGUUAUCGGUAAUUUGAGUGCUUGCAGAAAAUACCUUGUUGAAAACCGCUUGUCAGUUCCUUCUGCUCCUUGUUCGGUUUGGCACUCUUACUUAUAGAAAGGACUAUGAUUGAUCCCCUAUACGUGUGGGUCAUCAAGGCUCUUUUCCGGCAUCGUUACCGGGGAGUGAAGUUCCUCUAGUAAGUGGAAUUUGGUAAGGAAACAUUUAUAUUACAUGCUGAAAUUUACUGUUACUUGUUACUAUGGAAAAUAAUCAUUUGAGGGGUUUGUUCGGGGUAUCUUCACCUCAACCAGAAGCACAAAGAGUUGCUGCUCAACCUACUGCACCUACUGAAAAUAUUAUUACGAGAUUCCUUCGGGUAUGAUAGAGAAACUGCUAGCUAAUCCUUAUGUAGGAGAUGGAACGCUUCAUCCUAAUAUGCACCUAAUCUAUGCGGAUGAAGUUUGUGGAUUAUUUAAGCUUGCAGGUUUACCCGGAGAUGAAGUUAAGAAGAAGGUUUUCCCUUUAUCUUUGAAGGGAAAGGCAUUGACAUGGUAUAUGCUACGUGAUGAUAUUGGAACGUGUGAUUUGAACCGAUUUAAAUUGAAAUUUCAUCAAAAGUUUUAUCCUAUGCAUCUAGUUCAUCAUGAUCGGAAUUAUAUAUAUAAUUUUUCACCUCGUGAAGGAGAAAGCAUUACUCAAGCUUGGGGAGGCUUAAGUACAUGAUGUACACAAGCCCCAAUCAUGAGCUCCCAAAAGAAAAUAUCUUACAAAAAUUUUAUGCUCGGCUUUCUCAUGAUGAUCAAACCAUGCUCGAUUCUUUUCCAACUGGCUCCUUUAUGAAGAAAACUAUUGAAUUCAGAUGUGAUCUUCUAGAAAGAAUUAAAUGCAACUCUAAAGAUUGGGAACUUGACAAAGGUAAUGAGUCGGGUAUAAUACUUGAGUUUGAUUGUGUUAAAUAUUUUAUGGAUACCGAUGCUUUUCAUAAGUUUAGCACUAAAUUUUCACAAGUUUAGCACUAAAUAUGGACUUGACUCUGAGAUAGUAUCCUCUUUUUGUGAAUCAUUUGCUACUCAUGUUGACCUCAGUAAAGAGAAGUGGUUCAAAUAUCACCCCCUGCAAAGAAAAGAUUGAGGAGCCCGUGAUAGUUAAAGAUGAAACUAUGAUUUACAAUGUUGAUCCAAUUGUUCCUAUUGUUUAUAUUGAGAAAUCACCUUUCCCUGUUAGGAUAUAAAGGAACAUGCUAAGGUUUCACCCGUGGUUAAAAAAAGUAAUAUUAGAGCACCUAGACCCUCUGAACAAAUUAGAGUUAAACCUAACUUUGCUAUGGUUAAAGAUCUCUUGAUCAAUAAUAUAGAUGGGCAUGUUGUUUACUUUUGUGGUGAAGCCUCUAUAAUUGUUGAGCCUGAUACUGAAGAUAAGAAUAAACCUGUUGUUGGCAUGCCUGCUGUCUCAGUUAAUAUAGGAGAUCAUUGUUAUCAUGGCUUAUGUGAUUUGGGUGCUAGUGUGAGUGCUAUCCCGUUUACCUUAUAUCAGAAAAUUAUGAACGAUAUUGCACCUGCUGAAAUAGAGGAUAUUGAUGUUACUACUAAGCUUGCGAAUAGAUAUACUAUUACACCACUUGGGAUUGUUAGAGAUGUUAAAGUCUUGUGUGGAAAAAUAAAAUACCUGACUGAUUUUCUAGUUCUUAGUUGUCCACAAGAUGCUUUUUGUCCCAUAAUAUUCAGUAGACCUUUCUUGAACACUGUUAGUGCUAAGAUUGAUUGCUCUAAAGAAACUGCCAUUGUUAACUUUGGUAAUAUUUGUCAUGAGUUUAAUUUAUCUAAGUUUCGUAGACAAUGUCAUGACAAGGAAUCGUCUAGUAAAGAUGAAAUUAUUGGUCUUGCUUCUAUUGCCGUACCUCGUACUGAUCCGUUAGAAAAAUAUUUGCUAGACCAUCAAAAUGAUAUGCACUUGAAUGAAAUAGAUAAGAUGUUCUUUGAUCAACCACCUAUUCUUAAGCACAAUUUGCCUGUUGAAACUCUUGGAGGUCCUCCUCCACCUAAAGGUGAUCCUGUGUUUGAAUUAAAACAAUUGCCCGAUACAGUGAAAUAUGCUUAUCUUGAUGAAAAGAAGAUAUAUCAUGUUAUUAUUAGUGCUAACCUUUCAGAGCAUGAAGAAAAGAGAUUAUUAAAAACUUCGAGGAAGCACCGUGCUGCUAUUGGAUAUACUCUUGAUGAUCUUAAGAGCUUUAGUCCCACUCUAUGUCAGCACAAAUUAAUAUGGAGCCUGAUGCUAAACCAGUUGUCGAUCAUCAACGACGAUUAAAUCCUAAGAUGAAUGAGGUCCUAAGAAUUGAAAUAUUAAAGCUUCUGGAAGCAGGUAUAGUCUAUCCCUUAGCUAAUAGUAGAUGGUAAGUCUCGUUCAAUGUGUCCCUAAGAAAUGAGGCAUUACUGUUGUCCCUAAUGAUAAAAAUGAACUAAUUCCACAAACAAUUAUAACUGAUUAUAGGAUGGUAAUUGAUUUUAGAAAGUUAAAUGAAAUCCACUAGAAAAGAUCAUUACCCCAUACCUUUUAUUGAUCAAAUGUUAGUAAGAUUGUCUAAGCAUACACACUUUUGCUUUUUUGAUGGAUAUUCUGGUUUCUCUCAAAUACAUGUAUCACAAUAUGACUAGGAGAAAACCACCUUUACUCGUCCUUUUGGAACUUAUGCUUAUAGACGUAUGCCUUUUGGUUUAUGCAAUGCAUUUGCUACCUUUCAAAGAUGUAUGGCUACUAUAUUCUCUGACUUUUUUGAAAAGAUUGUUGUGGUUUUCAUGGAUGAUUUUUUUGUUUAUGGAACUUCUUUUGAUGAUUAGUUAAGCAACCUUGAUCGAGUUUUGCAGAGAUGUGAACAAACUAAUCUUGUCUUGAAUUGGGAAAAGUGUCACUUUAUGGUGAAUGAAGGUGUUGUCUUGGGACAUAAAAUUUCUGAACGAGGCAUUGAAGUGGAUAAAGCUAAAGUUGGUGCAAUUUAGAAAAUGCCAUGUCCUAAAGAUAUUAGAGGUAUAAGAAGUUUCCUUGGAGGUUUAUUAAAGACUUCUCUAAAAUUUCUAGGCCUCUUAUUAAUAUCUUGCAAAAAGAUGUUCCAUUUGUUUUUUAUGAUGAUUGUGUAGAAGCCUUUGAAACACUCAAGAAAGCCUUAACUUCUGCACUAUUGUUCAACCCCCUGAUUGGAACUUGCCUUUUGAAAUCAUGUGUGAUGCUAGUGAUUACGCUGUUGGUGAUGUUCUAGGACAAAGAGUUGAUAAGAAAUUAAAUGUUAUGCCUUAUGCUAGUAAAACUCUAUACAAUGCUCAAAGAAAUUAUGCUAGUACUGAAAAAGAAUUUCUAGCAGUUGUGUUUGCAUGUGAUAAAUUUAGAUCUUACAUUGUUGAUUAUUGUUCACACCGAUCAUGCUUCUAUUAAAUACCUUAUGGAAAAGAAAGAUGCUAAACCUAAGCUCAUUAGGUGGGUUCUACUGCUACAAGAAUUUGACUUGCACAUUACUGAUGGGAAGGGAGCUGAGAAUCCCAUAUCUGAUAACUUGUCUAGGUUAGAAAAUGUUCUUGUUGACCCACUACCUAUUGAUGAUAGUUUUCCCGGUGAGUAAGUAACUGUCAUAAAUAACUCUCAUAACAGUCCAUGGUAUGCAGACUAUGCUAAUUAUAUUGUUGCUAAAUUUAUACCACCUAGUUUUACAUACCAACAAAAUAAAAAGUUCUUCUUUGAUUUAAGACAUUACUUCUGGGAUGACCCACAUCUUUAUAAAGAAGGAGUGGAUGUAUAAUAAAUGUUGUGUACCUGAGCUUGAAUAGGAACAAAUCCUAUGGAAGUGUCACUCUGAGUCUUAUGGAGGACCAUGCGGGAGACAGAAAGAUACACAAGGUAUUACAAUCUGGUUUUUACUGGCCUACUCUUUUCAAGGAUGCUUGUAAGUUUGUCUUAUCUUGUGAUGAAUGUCAAACAAUUGGCAAUAUUGGUAGACAUUAGGAAAUGCCAUGAAUUAUUCACUCAUUAUUGAACCAUUUGAUGUUUGGGGAUUUGAUUAUAUGGGACCUUUUCCUUCCUCUAAUGGGUAUACACAUAUUUUGGUUGUUUUUGAAUACGUUACUGAGUGGGUAGAAGCUAUCCCAACUAGUAGUGUUGAUCAUAACACUUCAAUUAAAAUGCUUAAAGAAGUUAUUUUCCCGAGGUUUGGAGUCCCUAGAUAUUUAAUGACUGAUGGUGGCUCACAUUUUAUUCAUGGUGCUUUCCAUAAAUUGCUUGCUAAAUAUGAUGUCAACCAUAGAGUUGCAUCCCCCUAUCAUCCUCAAUCCAGUGGUCAAGUUGAAUUCAGCAAUAGAGAAAUAAGGUUAAUUUUGCAAUAGACCGUCAAUAGAUUUAGAAUUAAUUGGUCUAAGAAACUUGACGAUGCAUUACGGGCUUAUAGAACUACUUAUAAAAAUCCCAUGGGUAUGUCUCCAUAUAAAAUGGUCUAUGGAAAAGCAUGCCAGUUACCUCUUGAAUUAGAACAUAAGGCAUAUUGGGCAAUUAAAGAACUCAAUUAUGAUUUCAAACUUGCUGAUGAAAAGAUGUUAUUGAUAUUAGCUCGCUAGAUGAAUGGAGAACCGAGCUUAUGAAAAAGCAAAAUUGUUUAAAGAAAAAGUUAUAAGAUCUCAUGAUAAAACAAUCCAAAAACGGGAACUCAAAGUGGGUGAGUGUGUUCUAUUGUACAAUUCUCGUUUUAGAUUUUUUGCAGGAAAAUUUCUCUCCAAAUGGGAAGGACUGUAUAUCAUCAAGGAAGUUUAUCGCUCUGGAGCUAUUAAGAUCAAUAACGCCGAAGGCACUAAUUUGAAGGUGGUCAAUAGACAAAGAAUUAAGCAUUAUAGGUACGCCUAUUAAUAUUGAAACUAACAUUAUUCAAACUAUGACACCAAAGGAAUACAUAAAAGAGACCUUCCAGAACACUUCAGAACCCUGAAAAGGAAGAGGUACGUGAUACGGUAAGUAAACCGACUCCAAAAAUUCCAUAAAAUACUUUCUGUUAGUUUUGGAAUAUUAGAAAAAAUACAAAAAUAAGAAACACCCAAGGGGGCUACCCAGGUGCCCACGAGGCACCAGGGCCCCUCGUGAGCCUUCCCGGCUCUAUUUUCUUCUGGAAUACUUGUUUUGCAAGAUAAACAUUCUUUAUAUAUACCACCGGACAUUUUGACCACCGCAUCACAGAAAUAUCCUCUGUUCUUGUUUCGUGUUGUUCUCUGUCAAAUCUUCCAAGCCAGGCAGCAUGUCUUCUUCCUCCUCCAACAAGGUUGAAGAUGAUGCUUGGCUGUUGCAAAUGGAACUAAGGAGAGAGAGAGGGGACCGAUGAGGUUGCCAUGGAAGAAGGUGAAGGAAACUCGCCUAGAGUCCACCCUCCGGCUUCCGAGAGGGGCACGCUAGCUAGCAUCUCCACUACUCCGAACCCCCAUUAAGCCAUGAGGCCAAUGAACUAUCAAGGGAAUCAUGAAGUGCAAGGUGGACUUCCUCCUAGGAGGCCCUUACACAGGUUAUAUUGGAACAAUUUUCAUAAUUUGGUUCACAACUAUGGGGUCAAAAAUACUCCUUGUAUACACAUAUCGUCUAAUUGGGACAUAUCUUGUCCAAGAGAAAGUGAUGGAGAAACAAUCUCGUGGGGAUCGGAGAAUAAACAUAUUAUGGCUGAGGUGGAGAGGAACACUGAGUUAACUCGUCAAGCUGUCCGGGAAAUUCAAAGUUUGAGGGAGGCACUCAUGAGUAUUAUGAAGGACAAGCUCACCACUUCAUCACCACCACCAUCACCGAAGAAAGAAUCUUUAGUACGCGGGUAUGGGCACUCCCCUUGGCUUGUGCCAAGCUUGGGGGAGGUGCCACAGUAUUGUAUCAUCAUCACUUUUAUUAUCUUUACCUAUUUUUAGUUUGAUCCUUAGCUAUUUCAUGAUAGUUUAGUAUGAUCUAUUUUCGAGUGCUAGUUUCGUGAUCUAUCUAUCUAUGUAACCAAGUUGAGAGUUAUAUAAUAAAGAGUAGUUUGAGUUUUCGUUUCUUUACUUUUAUGUUUCAAUCCUAGCAAUGAAAAUAAUGAAAAAGAUCAUAUGCCAAUCUUAUGGAAAGUAAUGACAUUACAUAAGGAAAAGUAUAAGUGGUAAAAUUUAUUGAAAGUUGACAAACAUAACAUUGGUCAACAAUGCAAUUCAUGAAAAACUUAAUAAGGGAAGAGAAGAUUCACAUGAAAAUACACUAUCUUGGACAUUUUUUAUGAUUGUGAGCCCCCAUUAAGUAUUUUAUGCCAAAUUGUUGACGUUGGACAAGGAAGACAACAUAAUGAAUUAUGUUUUCUUAUAUUCACAUAGAAGUUAUAUUGUCAUAGAUCCUCCAACAUGUGGUGCUUGCCCAAUAUUUUUGCUAGCAAAAAUUCCGCACCAAGUAGAGAUACUAUUUCCAAAAACCUUAAACUCAGUUUCAUGUCAUGAGAAUCCACUAUAUCUACCUAUGGAUUGAACAAGAUCCUUCAAGAAAGUUGUCAUCGGUGCAUAAAGCAAUAAAAAUCGCUCCUAAAUAUGUAUGAUCUUUUAUUGUAAGGGAAAAUGAGCUUUGUACGAUCUUGUGAUGGUAAAGAAAUAAAAGCGGUGGACUGCAUAAUAAAGGUUGCUAUCACAAGGGGCAAUAUAAAGUGACGUUCCUUUGCAUUAAGAGCUUGUGCAUCCAAAAACAAAAAGCGUAUGAAAACCUCUACUUCCCUCUGUGAAGGGCCUAUCUUUUACUUUUAUCUAUUUACUUUUUAUGCAAGAGUCAAUAGUGUUCUCCUCUAUUCCUUUUUAUUUUUCUCUUUUGCAAGCAUCAUGUGGCGGGGAAAGAUCUAGGCAUAUAUAUCCAGUUGGAUAUGAGUGAUCAUGAGUUAUUAUUGUUGACAUCACCCUUGAGGUGAAUAAGUUGGGAGGCGAAAUUAUAAGCCCCUGUCUUUCUAUGUGUCUGGCUGGAACUUUUUGCUCCAUAUAUAUGUUGUGAGUGUUAGCAAUCAUAGAAGACUAAAUGAUGGUUGAGUAUGUGGACUUGAUAAAAAGCUCCGACAUGAGACUCUUCCUAAAAAUAUGAUGAAUUGUAAUUGCAUUGUUGACCAAGAACAUAGUUUGUUAGUUUUCAAGAAAAUUUAUGCCUUAUACUUCAUUGCUGUGAUGAAUUAUUACAUGCUCAUGAGAAGUUUUACGAUAAUAAAUAUUGUUGCCGUAAUAAUGAUCAUGAUACUACUAUGUCCGUAUUUUGUUUUAUCAACACCUCUCUCUUCCUCCAAACAUGUGGACAUGAUAAUCGAUAUCGGCUUUCGCUUGAGGAUAAGCAAGGUCUAAGCUUGGGGGAGUUGAUACGUCCAUUUUGCAUCAUAUUUUCCUACUGUUAUUUAUACUAUUUUAAAUCAAUAUAACACUUUGUGUAGCAAUUCUUAUGCCUUUUCUCUCUUAAUAUGCAAGAUUUACAUGAAGAGGGGGAUUGCAGCAGCUGGAAUUCUGGACCUGAAAAAGCUAUCUCGGAGACACCUAUUCUGGACAUCUCCAAAUGAGCUAAAAUUUCACAGAGAUUUAUGUUGGAAUAAACAAAAAAUAUUGGAGCAAAGAAGUAACAGAGGGGGCCACCCAGGUGUCCACGAGGCACUAGGGCGCGCCCACCGCCCCAGGGCGCUCCCUGGUGGCUUGUGGGGCCCCUGGCCAGCCUCCGGUGCCCGUCUUCUGGUAUAUAAGCCCAUUUUCCCUAGAAAAAAUAAGGGGAGGACUUUCGGGGUGGAGCUCCGCUGUCUCGAGGCGGAACUUGGGCAGGAGCACUUUUGCUCUCCGGCGGAGCGAUUCCGCUGAGGACACUUCUAAUGUCUACUACGCAACCUUCUUCUUGUAGACGUUGUUGGGCCUCCAAGUGCAGAGGUUUGUAGGACAGUAGCAAAUUUCCCUCAAGUGGAUGACCUAAGGUUUAUCAAUCCGUGGGAGGCGUAGGAUAAAGAUGGUCUCUCUCAAACAACCCUGCAACCAAAUAACAAAGAGUCUCUUGUGUCCCCAACACACCCAAUACAAUGGUAAAUUGUAUAGGUGCACUAGUUCGGCGAAGAGAUGGUGAUACAAGUGCAAUAUGGAUGGUAUAUAAGAGUAUUUGUAAUCUAAAAAUAUAAAAACAACAAGGUAACAAGUAAUAAAAGUGAGCGGAAAUGGUAUUGCAAUGGUAGGAAACAAGGCCUAGGGUUCAUACUUUCACUAGCGCAAGUUCUCUCAACCAUAAUAACAUAAUUGGAUCAUAUAAAUAUCCCUCAACAUGCAACAAAGAGUCACUCCAAAGUCACUAAUAGCGGAGAACAAACAAAGAGAUUAUUGUAGGGUACGAAACCACCUCAAAGUUAUUCUUUUCGAUCAAUCAAUUGGGCUAUUCCUAUAAGUGUCACAAACAACCAUAGAGUUUGUAGUAAAAUAACACCUUCAGACACAAAUCAACCGAAACCCUAAUGUCACCUAGAUACUCCAAUGUCACCUCAAGUAUCCGUGGGUAUGAUUAUACGAUAUGCAUCACACAAUCUCAGAUUCAUCUAUUCAAGCCAACAUAAAGUACUUCAAAGAGUGCCCCAAUGUUUCUACCGGAGAGUCAAGACAAAAACGUGUGCCAACCCCUAUGAAUAAGUUCACAAGGUCACUGAACCCACAAGUUGAUUACCAAAACAUACAUCAAGUAGAUCACGUGAAUAUCCCACUGUCACCACAGAUAAGCACAUGCAAGACAUAUAUCAAGUGUUCUCAAAUCCUUAAAGACUCAAUCCGAUAAGAUAACUUCAAAGGGAAAAUACAAUCCAUUACAAGAGAGUAGAGGGGGAGAAACAUCAUAAGAUCCAACUAUAAUAGCAAAGCUCGUGAUACAUCAAGAUCGUGCCAUAUCAAGAACACAAGAGAGAGAGAGAGAGAGAGAGAGAGAUCAAACACAUAGCUACUGGUACAUACCCUCAGCCCCGAGGGUGAACUACUCCCUCCUCGUCAUGGAGAGCACCGGGAUGAUGAAGAAGGCCAUCGGUGAUGGAUUCCCCCUCCGGCAGGGUGCUGGAACGGGCUCUCGAGGUUUUUUUUGUGGCUACAGAGGCUUGCGGUGGCGGAACUCCCGAUCUAGUUUUCGGGGGUUUCUGUAUUUAUAGGAAUUUUGGCGUCGGUCUGACGUCAGGGGGUCUCCGAGUCGUCCACGAGAUAGGGGGGGCAUGCCCAGGGGGUAGGGCGUGCCCUCCACCCUCGUGGAUGGCUUGGGACUCUUCUGGCCCAACUCUUUUACUUCGGGGGCUUCUUUUGGUCCAUAAAAAAUCAUCAAAAAUUGGCACGUCAAUUGGACUCCAUUUGGUAUUCCUUUUAUGUAAAACUCAAAAACAAGGAAAAACAUAAACUGGCACUGUGCUCUAGGUUAAUAGAUUAGUCCCGAAAAUCAUAUAAAAUAGCAUAUAAAUGCAUAUAAAACAUCCAAGAUGGAUAAUAUAAUAGCAUGGAACAAUAAAAAAUUAUAGAUACGUGGGAGACGUAUCAAGCAUCCCAAGCUUAAUUCCUACUCGUCCUCAAGUAGGUAAAUGAUAAAAACGGAAUUUUUGAUGUUUAAUGCUACCUAACAUAUUUAUCCAUGUAAUUUUCUUUAUUGUAGCAUGAAUAUUCAGAUCCAUAAGAUUCAAAACAAAAGUUUAAUAUUGACAUAAAAAUAAUAAUACUUCAAGCAUACUAACAAAGCAAUCAUGUAUUCUCAAAAUAACAUGGCCAAAGAAAGUUAUCCCUACAAAAUCAUAUAGUCUGGCUAUGCUCUAUCUUCAUCACACAAAAUAUUUAAUCAUGCACACCCCGAUGACAAGCCAAACAAUUGUUUCAUACUUUUGAUGUUCUCAAACUUUUUCAAUCUUCACGCAAUACAUGAGCGUGAUCCAUGGAUAUAGCACUAUAGGUGGAAUAGAAUGGUGGUUGUGGAGAAGACAAAAAGGAGAAGAUAGUCUCACAUCAACUAGGCGUAUCAACGGGCUAUGGAGAUGCCCAUCAAUAGAUAUCAAUGUGAGUGAGUAGGGAUUGCCACGCAAUGGAUGCACUAGAGCUAUAAGUGUGUGAAAGCUCAAAAGGAAACUAAGUGCGCGUGCAUCCAACUCGCUUGCUCACGAAGACCUAGGGCAUUUUGAGGAAGCCCAUCAUUGGAAUAUACAAGCCAAGUUCUAUAAUGAAAAAUUCCCACUAGUAUAUGAAAGUGACAACAUAGGAGACUCUCUAUCAUGAAGAUCAUGGUGCUACUUUGAAGCACAAGUGUGGGGAUAGUAGCAUUACCCCUUCUCUCUUUUUCUCUCAUUUUUUUAAUUUUUUUGUUUGGGCCUUUCUUUUCUUUUUCUUUUUUUGGCCUCUUUUUUUUUUGUCCGAGUCUCAUCCCGACUUGUGGGGGAAUCAUAGUCUCCAUCAUCCUUUCCUCACAUGAGACAAUGCUCUAAUAAUGAAGAUCAUCACACUUUUAUUUACUUACAACUCAAAAAAUUACAACUUGAUACUUAGAACAAAAUAUGACUCUAUAUGAAUGCCUCCGAUGGUGUACCGGGAUGUGCAAUGAAUCAAGAGUGACAUGUAUGAAAGAAUUAUGAACGGUGGCUUUGCCACAAAUACGAUGUCAACUACAUGAUCAUGCAAAGCAAUAUGACAAUGAUGGAGCGUGUCAUAAUAAACGGAAUGGUGGAAAGUUGCAUGGCAAUAUAUCUCGGAAUGGCUAUGGAAAUGCCAUAAUAGGUAGGUAUGGUGGAUCUUUUGAGGAAGGUAUAUGGUGGGUGUAUAGUACCGGCGAGAGUUGCGCGGUACAAGAGAGGCUAGCAAUGGUGGAAGAGUGACAGUGUGUAUAAUCCAUGGACUCAACAUUAGUCAAAAAUAACUCACAUACUUAUUGCAAAAAUCUAUUAGUUAUCGAAAUGAAGUACUACGCGCAUGCUCCUAGGGGGAUAGAUUGGUAGGACAAUACCAUCGCUCGCCCCCGACCGCCACUCAUAAGGAAGACAAUCAAUAAAUAAAUCAUGCUCAGACUUCAUCACAUAACGGUUCACCAUACGUGCAUGCUACGGGAAUCGCAAACUUUAACACAAGUAUCUCUCAAAUUCACAACUACUCACUAUAAUGACUCUAAUUCCUCAUAUCUCAAAACAAUCAUAAGGAAUCAAACUUCUCAUAGUAUUCAAUGCAUUUUAGAUGAAAGUUUUUAUUAUAUACCUCUUGGAUGACCAUCAUAUUAGGACUAAAUUUAUAACCUAAGAAAAUUACCAUGUUGUUCUAAAGACUCUCAAAAUAAUAUAAGUGAAGCAUUAGAGUUCAUCAAUUUCUUCAAAAUAAAACCACCUUCGUGCUCUAAAAGGAUAUAAGUGAAGCACUAGAGCAAACGACAAACUACUCCGAAAGAUAUAAGUGAAGAUUAAUGAGUAGUCGAAUAAUUAUGCAACUAUGUGAAGACUCUCUAACAUUUAAGAAUUUUAGACCUUGGGAUAUUAUUCAAACAACAAGCGAAACAAAAUAAAACAAAAUGAUGCUCCAAGAAAAACACAUAUCAUGUGGUGAAUAAAAAUAUAGCUCCAAGUAAAGUUACCGAUGAAUGAAGACGAAAGAGGGGAUGCCAUCCGGGGCAUCCCCAAGCUUAGGCUCUUGGUUGUCCUUAAAUAUUACCUUGGGGUGCCUUGGACGUCCCCAAGCUUAGGCUAUUGCCACUCCUUAUACCAUUGAGGAAAGCACUUUUCACAUCCAUUUGUUGUAAUAUUAAUAUCAUGAUGGUUAGCAUAAACAAGUAAUAUGCGAAUAGCCUCAAGUCUAGCAACAGGUGCAAAAGUUUCAUCAAAGUCAAUUCCUUCAACAUGUGUGUAGCCUUGAGCUACAAGCCGUGUCUUAUUCCUCACCACAAGGCCAUUUUCAUCUUGCUUGUUGGGGUAGAUCCACUUUGUGCCAAUGAUGUUGUGCUUGCGAGGAUCUGGAUGUUUGACCAGUUCCCAGAUGUUGUUGAGCUCGAACUGAUGUAAUUCUUCUUGCAUAGCUUGAAUCCACUCAGGCUCCAGAAAUUCUUCAUCUACCUUAGUGGGCUCUGUGAUAGAGAAAAGCAUAGUGCCCACAAAAGUUAGACAAAUGUGAAGUUUUUGAGCGUGUGAGAGGACCUGGUGCUUCAAUGUCAUCGAUGAUCUUCUCGACUUGCACUUCGUUUGCAAUGCGAGGAUGAGCGGGUUGUCUUCGAGGAAUUUGAUCCGCAUUUUCUUCAGGAGCAUUUUCCCCAGCACCAUUUUCUUCAGGUGCGCCAGCUCGAUGUUCUUCAUGUUCUAGAAUGAAUUGUUCAGCAGAUUCUUCAGUAGGAAUGACAUCCUCAGUAGCCUUGAACUUGAUAGCUUCCUCGGGUGUUGGUUCAUCUAACACAGAAGGUAGGUGCUCUCUUUGCGAGCCAUUAGUUUCAUCAAACCGCACAUCUACAGUUUCAACAACCUUGUGGAGAACGUUGUUGAAGACUUUGUAGGUGUGCGAGUCCUUUUCGUAACCAAGCAUAAAACCCUCAUGUGCUUUCGGUGCAAAUUUAGAAUUGUGAUGAGGGUCUCUAAUCCAACAUUUAGCACCGAAGACUUUGUUGGGUUUCUUGUCAGUGAGGAGUUCAUAAGCAGUCUUCUUGAAGAAUUUGUGAAGAUAUACUCUGUUAAUGAUGUGGCACACAGUAUCAAUUGCCUCAAUCCAUAAACGAUGAGGCGUCUUGUAUUCAUCAAGCAUAGUGCGUGCCAUCUCAACAAGAGUUCUGUUCUUGCACUCCACGACGCCAUUCUCCUGAGGAGUAUAAGGAGCAGAUAACUCAUGAGUAAUACCAAGUUCAUCAAGAUAGUCAUCAAGACCGGAAUUCUUGAACUCAGUCCCAUUGUCACUUCUGAUGUGCUUGAUCUUCACACCAAAGUUGGUUGAAGCCCUCGAGGAAAAUCGUUUGAAUACUUCCUGCACCUCAUGUUUGUAAGUGACAAUGUGCACCCAUGUGUAACGAGAAUAAUCAUCAACAAUAACAAAGCCAUAUAGAGAUGCAUCAUUCGUAACAGCAGAAUAAUGAUUUGGACCAAAGAGAUCCAUGUGAAGUAAUUCAAAUGGUCGAGCGGUAGUCAUGAUAGUCUUCGCUGGAUGCUUGGCCUUUGUCAUCUUUCCAGCUUCACAGGCUCCGCAUAAGUGAUCCUUGAGGAAUUUGACAUUCUCAAUGCCAAUGACAUGCUUCUUCUUCGCAAGCGUGUGCAAAUUCCUCAUGCCAGCAUGACCAAGUCGUCGAUGCCAUAGCCAGCCUUCUGAAGCUUUUGCAAGUAGGCAUACGGCCGGUUGUGGUCCUGUAGAGAAAUCAACAAUGUACAAGUCUCCUCUCCUAAAGCCUUCGAAGACUUUGCAAUUGUCAGCUUCCAUGAUCACAACACAACGAUAUUUUCCAAAGACAACAACCAUAUCGAGAUCACAAAGCAUUGAGACAGACAUGAGGUUGUAUCCUAAGGACUCGACAAGCAUGCCUUUGUCCAUGUGUCGAUCCUUUGAGAUCGCAUCCUUACCUAGACCCAAUACCUGACUUUUGCCUUUGUCAGCGAAGAUGAUAUGCUUCAGAUGCGAUGGUGAUAAAGGAGCAUCCAUCAAUAGAUUCUUGUCACCAUUCAUGUGUUUCAUACAUCCACUAUCGAGGACCCACUCAUUUUCUUUGGGUUGAUCAUCCUGCAGAUGAAUUAGUGCAAUGUAUGAACUCAUAUACUUCAUCAGUGAAGAAUAUGACAUCAAUAUCAUCAAAUCAAAAUCAUCAAGCAGAAGAACAGAUAAAACAGUAUGAGGACGUGAGAAAUGAAAGUUCAUUUCUUCAUGAUUAGCCUGCGUCCUUUCAGGCAAUCUUCAGGUCUCCAGCAAAUUCUUCAGACGUUUCCAGCACGUGUGGGGACCUUACCCUGCAUAAGAGAUUAGUUCUUUUUCUUCACCACCCACAUCUGAAGGGGUGCAAAGAAUUCAUCACUCUGCAAGUGCUACGUCUCGAGCUUGCGUUGGUUUUCCCCAAAGAGGAGAGGAUGAUGCAGCACAGUAGCGUAAGUAUUUCCCUCAGUUUUUGAGAACCAAGGUAUCAAUCCAGUAGGAGGUCACGCGCAAGUCCCUCGUACCUGCACAACACAAUAGCAACUCGCAACCAACGCUUAGGGGUUGUCAAUCCCUUCACGGUCACUUACGAGAGUGAGAUCUGAUAGAGAUAAUAUUUUUGGUGUUUUUGAUAGAUAGAUUGAUAUGAUGAGAAUAGACCCGGGGGCCAUAGGUUUCACUAGUGGCUUCUCUCAAGAGCAUAAGUAUUCUACGGUGGGUGAACAAAUUACUGUUGAGCAAUUGACAGAAUUGAGCAUAGUUAUGAGUACAUCUAGGCAAUGAUCAUGUAUAUAGGCAUCACAUCCGUGACAAGUAGAUCGAAACGAUUCUGCAUCACUACUAUUACUCCACUCAUCGACCGCUAUCCAGCAUGCAUCUAGAGUAUUAAGUUAAAAACAGAGUAACGCCUUAAGCAAGAUGACAUGAUGUAGAGGGAUAAAUUCAUGCAAUAUGAUAAAAACCCCAUCUUGUUAUCCUCGAUGGCAACAAUACAAUACGUGCCUUGCAACUCUUUCUGUCACUGAGUAAGGACACCGCAAGAUUGAACCCAAAGCCAUGCACUUCUCCCAUUGCAAGAACUACCAAUCUAGUUGGCCAAACCAAACGGAUAAUUAGAAGAGACUUGCAAAUAUAACUCAAUCAUACAUAAAAGAAUUCAGAGAAGAAUCAAAUAUUUUCCAUAGAUAAUACUGGAUCAUAAACCCACAAUUCAUCGAUCUCAACAAACACACCGCAAAAAGAAGAUUACAUCGAAUAGAUCUCCACGAGAGAGGGGGAGAACAUUGUAUUGAGAUCCAAAAAGAGAGAAGAAGCCAUCUAGCUACUAGCUAUGGACCCGAAGGUCUGAAGUAAACUACUCACACUUCAUCGGAGGGGCUAUGGUGAUGAUGUAGAAGCCCUCCGUGGUGGAUGCCCCCUCCGGCGGAGCUCCGGAAUAGGCCCCAAGAUGGGAUCUCAUGGAUACAGAAGGUUGUGGCGGUGGAAUUAGGUUUUUGGCUCCUCUUGGUCUAUUGGGGAUACGUAGGUAUAUAUAGGAGGAAGGAGUACAUCGGUGGAGCUCCGAGGGGCCCAUGAGGUAGGGGGCGCGCCUAGGGGGGAGGGUGCGCCCUCCACCCUCGUGACCGCCUCGUAGCUUUCUUGACGGAGGGUCCAAGUCUCCUAGAUAUUAUCUGAUGAGUAAAUCACGUUCCCGAAGGUUUCAUUCCGUUUGGACUCCGUUUGAUAUUCUGUUUCUUCGAAAUACUGAAAAAGGCAAAAAACAGCAAUUCUGGGCUGGGCCUCUGGUUCAUAGGUUAGUCCCAAAAAUAAUAUAAAAGUGGAAAAUAAAGCCCAUUAUAGUCCAAAACAGUAGAUAAAGUAGCAUGGAGCAAUCAAAAAUUAUAGAUACGUUGGAGACGUAUCAAGCAUCCCCAAGCUUAAUUCUUGCUCGUCCUCGAGUAGGUAAAUGAUAAAAAGGAAUUUUUGAUGCGGAGUGAUACUUUGGCAUAAUUUCAAUGUAAAUCUUCUUAAUUGUGAUAUGAAUAUUCAGAUCCGAAAUAUUCAAGACAAAAGUUCAUAUUGACAAAAAAAUAAUAAUACUUCAAGCAUACUAAUCAAAGCAAUCAUGUCUUCUCAAAAUAACAUGGCAAAAGAAAGUUCGUCCCUACAAAAUCAUAUAGUUAGGCUAUGCUUCAUUUUCGUCACACAAAGAUGUUCCCAACUUCUAUACCGCCGAUGACAAGCCAAGCAAUUGUUUCAUACUUAAAUAAUCUCAAACUUUUUCAACCUUCACACAAUACAUGAGCGUGAGCCAUGGAUAUAGCACUAUGGGUGGAAUAGAAUAUGAUGAUGGGGAUUGUGUGGAGAAGACAAAAAGGGAGAAAGUCUCACAUCAACUAGGCGUAUCAAUGGGCUAUGGAGAUGACCAUCAAUAGAUAUCGAUGUGAGCGAGUAGGGAUUGCCAUGCAACAGAUGCACUAGAGCUAUGAAUGCUCAACAAAAGAAAACUAGUGGGUGUGCAUCCAACUUGCUUGCUCACGAAGACCUAGGGUAUUUGCGGAAGCCCAUCGUAGGAAUAUACAAGCUAAGUUCUAUAAUGAAAAAUUCCCACUAGUAUAAAAAGACAACUUAUGAGACUCACUACAUGAAGAACAAGGUGCUACUUUGAAGCACAAUAUAUGAGACUCACUACAUGAAGAACAAGGUGCUACUUUGAAGCACAAGUGUGGAAAAAGAGAUAGUANNNNNNNNNNAUUGACGAGGCUAAUCAACGGGCUAUGGAGAUGCCCAUCAAUUGAUGUCAACAUGAGGAGUAGGGAUUGCCAUGCAACGGAUGCACUAGAGCUAUGAAUGCUCAACAAAAGAAAACUAGUGGGUGUGCAUCCAACUUGCUUGCUCACGAAGACCUAGGGCAUUUGAGGAAGCCCAUCGUAGGAAUAUACAAGCCAAGUCCUAUAAUUAAAAAUUCCCACUAGUAUAAAAAGACAACACAUGAGACUCUCUACAUGAAAAGCAUGGUGCUACUUUGAAGCACAAUAUAUGAGACUCACUACAUGAAGAACAAGGUGCUACUUUGAAGCACAAGUGUGGAAAAAGAGAUAGUAGCAUUGCCCUUUAUAUAUAUAUAUAUAUAUAUAUAUAUAUAUAUAUAUAUAUAUAUAUAUAUUAUUGCCUUUCUCUUUUUUUUAGUUGGGCAAUGCUCUAAUAACGAUGAUCAUCACACUUCUAUUGAUUACAACAUAAGGAUUACAACUCGAAACUUAGAACAAGAUAUGACUCUAUAUGAAUGCCUCCGGCGGUGUACCAGGAUGGNNNNNNNNNNNNNNNNNNNNNNNNNNNNNNNNNNNNNNNNNNNNNNNNNNNNNNNNNNNNNNNNNNNNNNNNUCUAAUAAUGAUGAUAAUCACACUUUCAUUACAACAUAAGAAUUACAACUCGAAACUAGAACAAGAUAUGACUCUAUAUGAAUGCCUCCGGCAGUGUAUCGGAAUGGUGCAAUGAAUCAAGAGUGACAUGUAUGAAAAAUAAUGCAUGGUGGCUUUGCCACAAAUACGAUAUCAACUACAAGAUCAUGCAAUGGCAAUAGACAACAGUAAUGCAUGUCACGAUGAUGAUGGUGGAAGUUGCAUGGCAAUAUAUCUCGGAAUGGCUAUGGAAAUGCCAUGAUAGGUAGGUAUGGUGGCUGUUUUGAGGAAGAUAAAAGGAGGUUUAUGUGUGAUAGAGCGUAUCGUAUCACGGGGUUUGGAUGCACCGGCGAAGUUUGCACCAACUCUCAAGGUGAGAAAGGGCAAUGCACGGUACCGAAGAGGCUAGCAAAGGCGGAAAGGUGAGAGUGCGUAUAAUCCAUGGACUCAACAUUAGUCAAAAGAACUCAUAUACUUAUUGCAAAAAUUUAGAAGUCAUCAAAAAUCAAGUACUACGCGCAUGCUCCUAGGGGGAUAGAUUGGUAGGAAAAGACCAUCGCUCGUCCCCGACCGCCACUCAUAAGGAUGCACAAGCUAGGUACACUUCAUGUUUCAAAUUUGUUAUAUAACUUUAACCAUACGUGCAUGCUACGGGAUUUGCUAACUUCAACAGAAGCAUUCUUUGAAUUCAUAAUCACCCAACUAGCACGACUUUGAUAUUAUCACCUCCAUAUCUCAAAACAAUUAUCAAGCAUCAAACUUAUCUUAGUAUUCAACGCACUCAAAAGAAAGUUUCACAUAUCUUGAAUACCAAGUAUAUUAACAUUAAGCAAAUUACCAUGCUAUUAAUGACUCUCAAAAUAAUCUAAGUGAUCAAGUUUCUUUAAAACAAAUCCACCACCGUGCUCUAAAAGAUCUAAGUGAAGCACUAGAGCAAAAAUUAUCACGCUCGAAAAGAUAUAAGUGAAACACUAUGAGCAAACUAUCAAGCUCAAAAGAUAUAAGUGAAGCACAUAGAGUAUUCUAACAAAUUUCAAUUCAUGUAUGGCUCUCUCAAAAGGUGUGUACAGCAAGGAUUAUUGUGGUAAACUAACAAGCAAAGACACAAAUAAUACAAGACGCUCCAAGCAAAACACAUAUCAUGUUGGUGAAUAAAAAUAUAGCUCCAAGUAAAUUACCGAUGGAAGUGGACGAAAGAGGGGAUGCCUUCCGGGGAAUCCCCAAGCUUUGAAUUUUUGGUGUCCUUGGAUUAUCUUGGGGGUGCCAUGGGCAUCCCCAAGCUUAGGCUCUUGCCACUCCUUGUUCCAUAAUCCAUCAAAAGAAUUCACCCAAAACUUGAAAACUUCACAACACAAAACUCAACAGAAAUCUCGUGAGCUCCGUUAGAGAAAGAAAACAAAAGACUACUUCAAGGUAAUGUAAUGAACUCAUUCUUUAUUUAUAGUGGUGUUAAACCUACUGUAUUCCAACUUCUCUAUGGUUUAUAAACUAAUUUACUAGCCAUAGAUUCAUCAAAAUAAGCAAACAACACACGAAAAACAGAAUCUGUCAAAAACAGAACAGUCUGUAGUAAUCUGUAACUAACGCAAACUUCUCGAACUCUAAAAAUUCUACCAAAAUAUUAAGUCCUGGAAAAUUUGUUUAUUGAUCAGCAGCAAAAAUAAUCAACGCAAAAGUACUCUCCAGUAAAAAAUGACAGCUAAUCUCGUGAGUGCUAAGGUUUCUGUUUUUCAGCAGAAUCAAAUCAACUAUCAUCGUAGGUUAUCCUAUAGGUCCUACUUGACACAAACGCUAAUUAAAACAUAAAACCACAUCCAAACAGAAGGUAGAUGGAUUAUUUAUUCCUAAACUGAAGCAAAAACAAAAGGCACAAAAUAAAAUUGGGUUGCCUCCCAACAAGCGUUAUCGUUUAACGCCCCUAGCUAGGCAUUGAGAUUAUGAUGAUGCUCACAUGAAAGACAAGAAUUGAAGCACAAAGAGAGCAUCAUAAAACAUGUGACAAACACACUUAAGUCUAACAUACUUCCUAUGCAUAGGCAUAUUAUAGGCAAACAAAUUUUCAACGCAAGCAAAAACUAGCAUAUGCAAGGAAGAAGAAGGCGACGAUAGCAAUCUCAACAUGAAGAGAGGUAAUUUAGUAACAUGAAAACUUCUACAACCAUAUUUUCCUCUCUCAUAAUAAUUACAUGUAGGAUCAUAAGCAAAUUCAACAAAAUAGCUAUCACAUAACAUAUUCUCAACACGAUCCACAUGCAUGUAAAAUUGACACUCUUCCAAAAUAGUGGGAUUAACAUUAACUAAAAUCAUGACUUCUCCAAACCCGCUUUUAUCCAAAUACCAUAAGAUUGAACAUUCUCAAAAUAUGUGGGAUCUAAAGUUGCUCUUCCAAACCCACUUUCAAUAGUAUUGCAAACGCUAUUAUCAAUCUCAUAUUCAUCAUGGGGGUUAAAUAAAUUUUCAAGACCAAAAGAAGAAUCACCCCAAUCAUGAUCAUUGCAACUAGUAGUCAUAGCAAAACUAGCAUCCCCAAGCUUAGGGUUUUGCAUAUUAUUAGCAUAAUUUAGAUUAAAAUAAUUUAUCAUAAAAUCAUUCCAAUCAUGCUUUUUAUUUAAAGAUCUAUCAUGAAGCACUUCAUCACAAUUUUCAGAUCUACGGGUUUUAGGAAAAAACUUAUAAAGAUAAUCUAGUGCAUCCAAAUCACUAGGAAUUGGUUCAUCAUAAUUGGAUCUCUUAAAAAGAUUGGCAAGCGGAUCAGGAUCAAUAGACUUUUAGCAAGCAAAGAUGCAAGCAAAAAGAAGGCACAAGCAAACAUAAGAUCGAACGGAAGAAGGGCGAAUAAAACGACAAGGGUGAAGUGGGGGAGAGGAAAAUGAGAGGCAAAUGGCAAAUAAUGUAAUGCGAGAGAUAGGGAUUGUGAUGGGUACUUGGUAUGUUGACUUUUGCGUAAGCUUCCCCGGCAACGGCGCCAGAAAUUCUUCUUGCUAUGUCUCGAGCUUGCGUUGGUUUUCCCCGAAGAGGAGAGGAUGAUGCAGCACAGUAGCAUAAGUAUUUCCCUCAGUUUUUGAGAACCAAGGUAUCAAUCCAGUAGGAGGUCACACGCAAGUCCCUCGUACCUGCACAACACGAUAGCAACUCGCAACCAACGCUUAGGGGUUGUCAAUCCUUUCACGGUCACUUACGAGAGUGAGAUCUGAUAGAGAUAAUAUUUUAGGUGUUUUUGAUAGAUAGAUGCAAAGUAAAAAAGUAAAGGCAAAGUAAAAAAAGCAAGUAAAUAAAGUGAUAUAGAUUGAUAUUAUGAGAAUAGACCCGGGGGCCAUAGGUUUCACUAGUGGCUUCUCUCAAGAGCAUAAGUAUUCUACGGUGGGUGAACAAAUUACUGUUGAGCAAUUGACAGAAUUGAGCAUAGUUAUGAGUACAUCUAGGCAAUGAUCAUGUAUAUAGGCAUCACAUCCGUGACAAGUAGAUCGAAACGAUUCUGCAUCACUACUAUUACUCCACUCAUCGACCGCUAUCCAACAUGCAUCUAGAGUAUUAAGUUAAAAACAGAGUAACGCCUUAAGCAAGAUGACAUGAUGUAGAGGGAUAAAUUCAUGCAAUAUGAUAAAAACCCCAUCUUGUUAUCCUCGAUGGCAACAAUACAAUACAUGCCUUGCAACUCUUUCUGUCACUGAGUAAGGACACCGCAAGAUUGAACCCAAAGCCAUGCACUUCUCCCAUUGCAAGAACUACCAAUCUAGUUGGCCAAACCAAACGGAUAAUUCGAAGAGACUUGCAAAUAUAACUCAAUCAUACGUAAAAGAAUUCAGAGAAGAAUCAAAUAUUUUCCAUAGAUAAUACUGGAUCAUAAACCCACAAUUCAUCGGGUCUCAACAAACACCACAAAAAGAAUAUUACAUCGAAUAGAUCUCCACGAGAGAGGGGGAGAACAUUGUAUUGAGAUCCAAAAAGAGAGAACAAGCCAUCUAGCUACUAGCUAUGGACUCGAAGGUCUGAAGUAAACUACUCACACUUCAUCGGAGGGGCUAUGGUGAUGAUGUAGAAGCCCUCCGUGGUGGAUGCCCCCUCUGGCGGAGCUCCGGAACAGGCCCCAAGAUGGGAUCUCGUGGAUACAGAAGGUUGCGGCGGUGGAAUUAGGUUUUUGGCUCCUCUUGGUCUAUUGGGGAUACGUAGGUAUAUAUAGGAGGAAGGAGUACGUCGGUGGAGCUCCGAGGGGCCCAUGAGGUAGGGGGCGCGCCCAGGGGGAGGGCGCGUCCUCCACCCUCGUGACUGCCUCGUAGGUUUCUUGACGGAGGGUCCAAGUCUCCUGGAUCUUAUCUGAUGAGUAAAUCACGUUCCCGAAGGUUUCAUUCCGUUUGGACUCCGUUUGAUAUUCUGUUUCUUCGAAAUACUGAAAAAGGCAAAAAAACAGCAAUUCUGGGCUGGGCCUCCGGUUAAUAGGUUAGUCCCAAAAAUAAUAUAAAAGUGAAAAAUAAAGCCCAUUAUAGUCCAAAACAGUAGAUAAAGUAGCAUGGAGCAAUCAAAAAUUAUAAAUACGUUGGAGACGUAUCACAAGCACCAUAUGAGAAAGGUGGCAUAGAAGCUAGUCCACUUCGUUUCGCAUAACAGGGGUUAGGAUAAGUAUAUGAAUAAGCAGAGAAAUUCUUCGAGGACUUAUGAACAUAAUUAUUAGAAGAAUAGUGCUCAUAUUCGUAGCCCUUAGCUCUACCCUGCGAAACAGAGAGGUUAGCCCGAUGAUGAUCAUAUGAGGACUUUGAUCCUUUUGAGAAAUUUGAUCCACGUGAAGAAUUUGGUCCAUAUGAAGAAUUUGAUCUGGAGUUCCUAUUCUUCAUAGGUGGUGUCAUGAGGACAUUCACCUGAAGACUUUCAAGCAACUUUUGGGAACCCAUAUUUUCUUCAUAGGGGAAUCGUUCCUGCAGUUAGUGCCAACAUAUCUAGCAAAUACUUCACCAUUCUGAUUCUUGAACAGUUUAUAGUUGGAGUCAAAUGACUCAUCAGAAGAAUGAGGAUAUUCACAUGUAAAGCUAGAUAAAUUGGAUGGAUCAACUGGAGGUCCCUUUGCAGCAACCCAUGAGGUUUUGGGGUACUACUCGGGCUUCCAAUAUGUUCCAUCAGCAUUGAGUUUCCUCUCAAAGGCAAUACCCUCUUUCCUAGGGUUCCUGUUAAGGAUCUGCUUUUUAAGCACAUCACAAAGAGUUUGAUGCCCUUUGAGGCUUUUGUACAAGCCUGUCAUGUACAAUUCCUUCAGCCCUGCAUCAUCAGUGAUACUAGCAAUGUCCUCAGAUAAGGAAUUAGUGAUAGCAGAGACAGGUGAAGAAUUUGUGGCAUUAGAAGCAUUUGAACAUUCAGGUGAAGAAUUAGUAGAUUCACGUUCAAUGCACUUCAGACAUGGAGGAACAAAUUCUUCCUGAGUAACGCUGAUUUGUUGAGCAAAUAAUGAAUCGCGCUCCUUCUGAAGAUCUUCAUAAUCCACUCUUAGCUUCUCCAGAUCUUGCUUUCUUUGAAGAAAUUCAUAAGAAAGCUUCUCGUGAUCAGAUAAGAGAGUGUUAUGAUGACCUUGAAGGGUGUCAAACUUGGACUGAAGUCUCUGAAGACUCUCAGUCAAAGCUUUUUACUAAUCCAUUUCUUCACCCAACAUAUCAUCGCUCUUAUGUUGCAUGUAUUGAACUUUUUCCAAAGCUCUUUGUUGUUUAGUGGCAAGGGAAGCAAGUUUGACAUAGCUGGGUCCAAAUUCAUCUCCAGAUUCAUCAUCACUGGACUCGGAUAGGUAGCACUCGGUUACCUGCCAUAAGGCAUGGUGAAGAAGAUGAUGAUUCUGGUUCGAAUGUCAUCGCAUUGAGAGAUUCCUUGUAAUCUUCAAACUAAGGAUCAUGACAAGUUCAAUGACCUUCAUAGACCUCAGAGAGCCGGUCCCAGAUUAGCUUCGCGUGAUUGCGAUGCAUGACGGUCCUGAACUGAUUUUGGGACAAGCAGAUGACAUCCUUCGCUGUGAGGUUGAGUAGAGUGUACUUGCAAAUGUCAUCAGCCUCCGCCAUCUUGCAUAGAUCGGUAAGACCAAUCUCAGUGACGGUCCACAGUUCGCAGUCCAUAGCCAUGAGUCACUUCUUCAUCAUGGCCUUCCACCGAGGAUACUCAUGACCAUCAAAGAUGGGGCAGGAUACAUUCCUCAUUCCUGCAGUCGACAUAACUAAAACUCCAGGCGGUUAAACCAAAAUCACACAGAACAAGGGAGAACCUUGCUCUGAUACCAAUUGAAAGUGCGUUAUAUCGACUAGAGGGGGGUGAAUAGGAGAUUUUUAUGGAUUCUUCACUGAGGAAUUUGUUGGUGAGGAAAUUCCUAAAUGAAGAACUACUUGCAGCGAAAUAAGUACUCAAAAGUAAACACAGUAGAACACAAGCAUAGUCAUCAUGAUGAAAUGAAGACAAGCACAGAGUACAGAAAGCAUAAGCACAGGAUAACACAGGAUGAAGACGGACAGACUGAAGAAAUUGAACCUAGGAAAUUGAGAAAAGUCUUCAGUCAAAGUCUUCAAACAGAUAUGAACAAGCACACAACAACAGAAAUGAGGAAAUGGAAGAGUUGAGGAAAUAGAACCAGUAAGCUUGGUGAAGACAAUGAUUUGGUAGACCAGUUCCAACUGUUAUCUCAGUUGUAUGUCUGGUUGGAGCGGCUGAGUAUUUAAACUCGAGGACACACACUCCUAGACACACAGUCCUCACUGUAUUCUCCUUGAGCUAAGGCCACACAGACCUCGCCCAAUCACUCGUGGUAUGUCUUCAGGUGACUUCCAAACCUUCACAGACCAGGUCACUUGGUGAUCCACAAUUCCUCUUGGAUUCUCUAGACCAUGACGCCUAAUCGUCUGGAAGAAGCAUAGUCUUCAAAGGUAACAAGUGUCGGAUCCAUGCAGGAUCAAUCUCUUCGGUGAUUCUCAAUGUACUUUGGGUUGUAGGUGUGUUGGGUUUGGGUUUUCCUCACUUGAUGAUUUUCGCUCAAAGUCCUCGGAGGAUGGGAUGCUCUCAAAUGACAAGUGUCAGUUUCUCUCGGAGCAGCCAACCAGCUAGUGGUUGUAGGGGCGGCUAUUUAUAGCCUAGGGAGCAGCCCGACAUGAUAAGACAUAAAUGCCCUUCAAUGAUAUGACCAUUAGGUGGAUAGAUAUUUGCGGACAGCUGGCGCAUAGCAUAGAAAUGGUCGGAAUUUUGAUUCUUAAAUUCCUCAGGGCUAUCAUGUUCCUCGCUGUGUAGGCAAUCCGCACUAGCGAAUUCCUAACUCCUCAGUCAGAACAAAUUCCUCAUUGAGCAGAAGAAUUCGUCUCUGUCACAGCAGAAUAUGGCUGAACUAUAUGAGAUUUCCAAUGGAUUAUCUCGAAGGGAUUGGUAUGUGUAGGAUUUUGAGUUGAGCAUCACAUGGAAAUUUUUCCUUAGUGUUUCCUCGACCCCCUUUAACAGUAUGGUGUUUCCUAUGACUCAAUAAGGAGAAAAUGAAACUACGAAAACAAAAUUCUUCAUGCUUCAUGUUCCUCGAAUGAUUGCCAAGUCUUCAAGGUCACACCCAAUUUCUUCACUUUCAAAGUCUUUAGAAAGUCUUCAGAAAUCCAAAGUCUUCAGUUGAAGAACUUCAUUUUUAGAGGUCGACUUUCUCUGUAAAUAUCAAACUCCUCAUAGACUUAUAGACCUAUGUACACUCACAAACGCAUCAAUCCCUUAACCUAUAAGUCUUCAAUACACCAAAAUCACUAAGGGGCACUAGAUGCACUUACAAUCUCCCCCUUUUUGGUGAUUGAUGACAAUAUAGGUUAAGUUUUCAAUGGGGAUAAACAUAUGAAGUGUAAAUACUAAUGUUGAGGAAUUUGAUUGCAAGAUAUAGAAGAACUCCCCCUGAAGAUGUGCAUAUUGAGGAAUUUGCUUUUGAAGCAAUGCACACCUGAAAAGUAUAAUCAUGGAGAUCUCCCCCCUAUAUCUUGUAAUCCAUACACGCAUUUGACAUAUAUUAUGAAGAAUUUGAAAUGCAUGAUGAAAUAUGGUGACUGAUGCAAUUCAGCAUGCGUGCAUAGACAUUAAUGAGGAAUAAGCAUGCAGAAGAACUCAGCAAAAGUAUCAGGCCACCAUAGAGUUUAAGAUUACAACUCGAUCCAGCAAAGUCAUCAAAAGAACGAGAGUUGUAACUUAGAAAAAAACGCCCAUAUAAGAUAGACCCGCUUGAAGACUAACUCAAAUUUCUCCCUCUUUGUCAUCGAAUGAGCAAAAGGGUUGAAAAUGAGGACUAACGCCCCUGAAGAAUAUCAUGAUGAUGGAGGAGCGCCAACGUUGUUGGGGUCUUGUGUCGUUGUAGGGCCUGUUGCAGUGUCGUCCAAGUCUUCAUACUCGUCCGUGUCGCGUGAUGAAGAGUAUGAACUGGGGACCAAGGAAGGAACCUUGACCUUCUUGCAUUUCUUCGAUGGAGGAGGAGACCAGUCAAAAUCUUCCUUGAAACCCAUUUGCUUCAAAUCUUCUUCACAAUAUAGAUGUGACAGAAUAGCCUAGGUGUGAUCCAAGACUUCAUGGAGGUAGUAAUGGUUUUUCUUCACUGCAUUAUGUGUAGAAGUCAUGUUGUGAAAAAUAGAUCCAAACUGACGCUUAACCUAUUUGUGGUUUUGAUCCACCUUCUGGUGAAGACUAAGAAGCAGCUCUCGGUUAGUCAUCACACGAGGAGCAGUGGCUUGAGGAUUUGGCUUGGAUGCAUUGGCAGCAGAAUCAUGAGUGGCAGAGUCAUCAUUGGUGGAAUAAGAUGCAGCUUUGCGGAACUGACCAUCCAAUGGACGAAUACCUUCAUCGAUAACAGCUGGUGCCUUGCCCUUCUUAUCAGCCGAGGAAUAUGUCCGCUUGAGGACUUCAAUCGGGGGCAAGUAGCUGAGGUGAUUCUGAAAGUCAGCUUUGUAGUUGAGUGAAGACCUUGUUCUGAGGAGUCUCAUGAUCCAAGGAGCAUAAGGCUUCAGCUCAAACGGAGAAAGUGCAACAUUUGCCAGAGUCCUCAUGAAGAAAUCAUGAUAGUUGACAGGGAUGCCAUGCAUGAUGUUGAAUAGCAUAUUCUUCAUGAUGCCAAUAAUUUCCUCAUCAGAUAAGUCGUGGCCUUUGAUAGGACUCAUAGUCUUCAUCAGAAUGCGAUAGACGGUUCUUGGCACAUACAACAAUUCCUUCACGAGGAAUUUUGUCCUUGGGGCUUGACCAGGCUUCAGAGGCUUCAUGAGCACUUGCAUGUAAUGAGCAGUGAGUUCAGGCUCUUGGUACAGACAAUGAGUACCUUCAGGUGGAGGACUGAUUGGCAGGGCAUGAAGUAAUUCAGAGGCCGGUGCCUUGUAAUGAGUGUUUUUGGUCAUCCAGUCCAACACCCAAGUGUUGAUAUCAUCAGCAUCACCUGUGAUGUGCAGUGUUGCGUAGAACUGAAGAAUACGCUCUUCAUUCCAAUCAACUAUGUCAGAGCAAAAGUUGAGCAGUCCUACAUCAUGAAGCAUACUGAGGACUUGAGAGAAGAAAGGCAUUCAUUCCAUGUCCACGUGAGGAAUAUGCUCGUGAUCGAAGACUUUGUCCUUGUUGAAAAGCAGUGAAGAAUAGAAAUUGGCCUGGCUGGCAGUCCAGAAACGCUUCCUUCUAAGACGAGCAUUGUCAUAAGGGUUGAAUUCAGUGAAGAAAACAUGCUCGCCGAAGAAUUCAUCAACCUUGAAUUUCUGCUUCUUUGAGAAGGGAUCCUUUGGCUUGGGCUGAGGAGUAUCAGUCAAAUGCAUCACCACCUCAGGAAUCACAAUCUCAGGAUCCACAUACUGAGGAAUUUUAGGCUCUUCUUCAGCUGCAGCCUGGGUCUUCAAUUCUUCAUUUACAUUUUGUUCAGCACUAGUGGCUGGAAUUUCUUCAUGGACAGACGGGGAUGCAUGUGGUUCUUCAGAUCCCAUUUGUACUUCAGUAGCAGCAGGGGACUGAGGAAUUUCUUGAAGUGGAGUGAACAUCGGAGAGUUGGGGUGCUAACUUUCCCAAAAGUCAUCAUUCAGCACAGGUGUGGUACAACCAAUGUCCACAUCCUCAUCUUCCAUUUCUUCAAUGUCGGCCUCUUCAGCAGUGAACUGAGGCAUAGGCGAGGAGACAACUGGUGUUGAAGGGAUUGUAUCCACUUCAAUUUCUUCAUCCAACUGCUCUGACGAAGCAGCAGAAGGAUUCUCUUCAUCGGAUUCGCUUGGAAUCACAUAAUCUCCACCAAAAGGAUCAAGGUCCUUUGAUGGCAUGAAGGAGAUAGGAAUAGCAUCAAUUGGGUUGUUAAUAGAGCUUGUCAAAGUCUUCAUCCUCUUCGGAGCUGAAGAAUCUGAUGAAGUUGAUGCCUUCCUUUUCUUCACAGCUGCAUGCUCUGCAGCCUUGGUCUUCUUCGCAUCUGAUGCAGAUGGAAGUAUCGGAGUUGGUGUAGGCAUAGGAGGAGCAGAGGAAUUUGGUUCAGUUUCUUCAGGCGCAACUGAUAUAGUUACCCUGACUUCUUCACUUUCUUCAGGCGCACCACUAGUGGAUGCCCUGGCAAUUUCUUCAGCGGCUGGAAUGCAGUCAUCAGCCCUGGUACUUUUAAUUUUCUUCAGCAGCCUAAUUGUCAUCAGCGGUGCUGGCAUGUUCUUCAGUGGGCUGAGCAGAUGCUUCAGCCGGAGUGACUUCAAUGUGCACAGGUGCAGCAACACUUGAAGUGAAUUUCUUCGUCAGCUUGACGAACCGGACCCUAGCGCCCUUCCAAUCAGCAUAGUAGCGAUUGAAUUCAUCACUCAGUUGCUUGAUCUCAGCUUGCAAGGCAACGAGUUGAUCAGGGGUAAGAGUGAGGACAUUGUGCUUUAGGUAGUGCUGCUUCUUCUACUGCGCUUUCUUCAGUCUUCUUCCUUCUUCAAAUUUCCACUUCUCUUCUUCAAUAAAGGCAAUCAAAACAUGACUUUGACCAGGAGUGAGGUUCAUCUCUGGCAAAGGCGUGUUUGGGUCCUUGUGCCAUAGAUCAAUGAAGUCUAGGAUCAACUUUGGAUCCAAUAACAGUGGCACAUUGCUGCCUUUGGCUCUAGCGGCCCUGGCCUGCCUGUCUCUGAUGAUUUCGGCAAGUUCUUUAUCAUCGGCCUCAUCAUCAGAAGGCACUUGAAAGGCGACCUACUUCUUAUGAGGACUUGGUCGAGGGCCUCGUCCAGCAGUGGCCUUUUUCUUCAGCAGAGAGGGGCCAGUUGAGGAAUUUGGUGCAGCUGAGGAACUCGCAGAAGCUCCUGAGGCAAUUGAGAUGCAUGUAGUCCUUUGGCACGUGGCGAGAUGCACAGGUGCAGAGGAUUUAGUCGGAGCAGCUGAAGACUUUGUCGGAGGAGCUGAGGACUUUGAAGGAGGAGCAGAUUGAGGAAUUGGCCGUGAGGGCAUUGAGGGUGAAGCACUUGGCUUGUGAGCAGGCUUAUUAUCCAUGGCCUUCUUCGGCUUGCUAGCAGAGGCCUCAGCAGCGGCAGCAGCAGCAGUAGAGUCUUCAUUAAAUUUUCUCACUACUUCCUUUGCUUGUUUGGCCAGUUUGGCCUCGCACUUUGCCCAUUCAUCAGGAUAAUCCUCACCGCGCUUGAGGCUAGUGGGAUCUGCCAAUUGGCCUUGUGCCAAUGGAGGUCUUGGGCAUGGAGGGUUGAGUGCGAAUUUCUUCAUAUACUUGGGAGUGACUUCUAUAGUCCCUCCAUUCCCAUGCCCAUCUCUUCUCAAUCUUUUGAAUGCGCACCUUGCGCUGAUUUUUAUCUUCCUCAGGGGUGUGCAGUAUCCAGCAUAAAUGUCAUCAGGGAUUUCAAAUGUUGUGUUGACCUCAGGCCUCUUUACACCCUUUCGUGGCUUCUUACCGUCAGCCAUUUUCUUCAGCUGAUGAAUAUGAACAACUGAAGUUUCUGAAGAGGUGUGCAACUUCUCCUUGAUGAAGAACAUGACGAACUGGGAAGUGUAGAUGUGAAGUUUGUCAGUUUAGAUCUUCCACACCCUAACUCAGCAGAGGAAGACAGCUACGGCGGCGGCGGAGUGAAGAAAUCCGCAACCGGCGCGAGUACGACGGCGACGAGGUCGAGGCAGUGAAGCUCUUCCUCACCGGCGAUGAUGAAGUAGCAGCGGCGCUAGAGUUUGAGAAACUCGAGCGGGAGUGAGAACGAGCGGAGUAAAAACGAAGUGAGGAAGAGGCGGGGGUAUUUAUAGUGGGAGUGAAAAAACUGUACGCCUGACGAAAUCGGACGAACGUGCCACUAGCCCUUCUCAUUCGCUUGACAUGUGUCCCCCACGUACUGAGAGGUGGCGAUCGUGUAAGAUCAUGGGUGAAUAGAUAAGUAUUGUCGUGGGAUGCGGAACGGUUUGAGCGGCAAAGCCGAAAAUUUAGAUAAGAUAAGUUAAAAGUACCGUUCGCAAUUUCUUCAGCUGUCAAGGACACAGUGAAGAUUUUAAACGAGUUUCAAAAUAGAACGCACAUGAAGAAUGUGUGAACAGACUGGGUUGAGUUUAUCAUAGAGGGGGAAGGGUCCGAUCACAUUCACUUAGCAGAAGAAAUCAACUUGAAGAAUCAACAAUAAGUGAAUGCCGUAGAGGACAUAAACUCAUAUAUAUAUUCAAAUGAAGAACAACACUGGAAGGAGUGUAGACAAUGCAAAGUUGAAGAAUUUGAAAAACUGAGGAAUUUCAAAAAACGAAGAAAAACUCAAAUUGAAGAUUUUCAACUUUGGUUGGUGGCGUAACCCACCGUAUAAGAAAGCUGAUUUCAGACACCGCGUACAAUUGUCGUAGGGCUCUGAGAAUCAAUUUCUUCAUUAAUUUCUUCACACUUAGAGGGUUAGUCUUCAUUGCUUGAAGAAAAACGUUACUUUGUGUGUUGAGCAUCUAAGUCAUCAAGUCGGCAUAAGUGUUAGGAUGUGUGUCCUUUUCAGAGAACAUUCAAAGAUUCUAGGAUAUUUAGCUCACACCGCAACUUGCUAAAUCUCUUCUAAUCCAAGGGCUUAGUGAAGAUAUCGGCUAGCUGGUCUUCAGUUUUUGCGUGGUCGAUGGAGAUGUCGCCCUUCAACACAUGAUCACGAAGAAAAUGAUGACGAAUCUGGAUGUGCUUGGUCUUCGAGUGAUGAACUGGGUUAUGAGCAAUCUUGAUAGCGCUCUCAUUGUCGCAAUAGAGAGGCACAUUCGUCACGUUGAUGCCAUAGUCCUUGAGUGUUUGAUCCAUCCAUAGUAAUUGAGCACAACACGAUCCAGCAGCAAUGUACUCAGCUUCUGCAGUGGAGAGUGAUACGCAAUUCUGUUUCUUCGAGGACCAACAAACCAAAGAUCGUCCAAGGAAAUGGCAUGUGCCUGACGUUGACUUGCGGUCCACACGAUCACCAGCAUAGUCAGAGUAAGAAUAUCCAAUGAGAUCAAAUGAGGAGCCCUUGGGAUACCAUAAUCCAAGUGUUGGUGUGUGAGCUAGAUAUCGAAGAAUAUGCUUCACAGCCUUAUGGUGGGAUUCCUUUGGUUUAGCUUGAAAUCGGGCACACAUGCAAACACUAAGCAUAAUAUCCGGCCUAGAUGCACAUAGGUACAAUAAAGAGCCAAUCAUGGAACAGUAUAGCUUUUGAUCAAAGUCUUUACCAUUUUCAUCAGUGCAUAGAUGGCCAUUUGUGGGCAUUGGAAUUUUGACCCCUUUGCAAUCUUGCAUGUCGAAUUUCCUCAAUACAUCCUUGAGGUAUUUCUCCUGAGAUAUGAAUAUGCCAUUGCACUCUUGACGAAUUUGAAGACCUAAAAAGAAUUUCAAUUCUCCCAUCAUAGACAUUUGAUAUUCUUCACUCAUCAUAUAGGGAAAUUCAUCACUGUAACGUUGGUCAGUACAGCCAAAAAUGAUAUCAUCAACAUAAAUUUGGCACACAAACAAUUCACCAUCAUAAGAUUUAGUGAAAAGAGUUGGGUCAAGUGAACCGGGUUUGAAGCCUUUCUUCAUGAGGAAUUCCUUCAAAGUAUCAUACCACGCCCGAGGGGCCUGCUUGAGGUCAUACAGGGCCUUAUUGAGUCUGAAGACUUUGUCAGGAUGCUUUGGAUCUUCAAAACCCGGGGGUUGAGCAACAUAUACUUCUUCCUCAAGCUUACCAUUGAGGAAAGCACUUUUCACAUCCAUUUGUUGUAAUAUAAUAUCAUGAUGGUUAGCCUCAAGUCUAGCAACAGGUGCAAAAGUUUCAUCGAAGUCAAUUCCUUCAACCUGUGUGUAGCCUUGAGCUACAAGUCGUGCCUUAUUCCUCACCACAAGGCCAUUUUCAUCUUGCUUGUUGCAGUAGAUCCACUUUGUGCCAAUGAUGUUGUGCUUGCGAGGAUCUGGAUGUUUGACCAGUUCCCAGACGUUGUUGAUCUUGAACUGGUGUAAUUCUUCUUGCAUAGCGUGAAUCCACUCAGGCUCCAGAAAUGCUUCAUCUACCUUAGUGGGCUCUGUGAUAGAGAAAAGCAAAAUGCCCACAAAAGUUAGACAAAUGUGAAGCUUUUGAGCAUGUGAGAGGACCUGGUGCUUCAAUGUCAUCGAUGAUCUUCUCGACUUGCACUUUGUUUGCAAUGCGAGGAUGAGCGGGUUGUCUUCGAGGAAUUUGAUCCGCAUUUUCUUCAGGAGCAUUUUCCUCAGCACCAUUUUCUUCAGGUGCGCCAGCUCGACGUUCUUCACGUUCUGGAAUGAAUUCUUCAGUAGAUUCUUCGAUAGGAAUGACAUCCUCAGUAGCAUUGAACUUGAUAGAUUCCUCAGGUGUUGGUUCAUCUAACACAGUAGGUAGGUGCUCUUUUUGUGAGCCAUUAGUUUCAUCGAACCGCACAUCUACAGUUUCAACAACCUUGUGGAGAACGUUGUUGAAGACUUUGUAGGUGUGCGAGUCCUUUCCGUAACCAAGCAUAAAACCCUCAUGUGCUUUCGGUGCAAAUUUAGAAUUGUGAUGAGGAUCUCUAAUCCAACAUUUAGCACCGAAGACUUUGAAGUAACUCACAUUGGUUUUCUUGUCAGUGAGGAGUUCAUAAGCAGUCUUCUUGAAGAAUUUGUGAAGAUAUACUCUGUUGAUGAUGUGGCACGUAGUAUCAAUUGCCUCAAUCCAGAAACGACGAGGCGUCUUGUAUUCUUCAAGCAUAGUGCGAGCCAUCUCAGCAAGAGUUAUGUUCUUGCGCUCCACGACGCCAUUCUGCUGAGGAGUAUAAGGAGCAGAUAACUCAUGAGUAAUACCAAGUUCAUCAAGAUAGUCAUCAAGACCGGAAUUCUUGAACUCAAUCCCAUUGUCACUUCUGAUGUGCUUGAUCUUCACACCAAAGUUGGUUCAAGCCCUCAAGGAAAAUCGUUUGAAUACUUCUUGCUCCUCAUGUUUGUAAGUGACAAUGUGCACCCAUGUGUAACGAGAAUAAUCAUCAACAAUAACAAAGCCAUAUAGAGAUGCAUAAUUUGUAACAGCGGAAUGAUGAUUAGGACCAAGGAGAUCCAUGUGAAGUUAUUCAAAUGGUCGAGUGGUAGUCAUGAUAGUCUUUGCUGGAUGCUUGGCCUUUGUCAUCUUUCCAGCUUCACAGGCUCCGCAUAAGUGAUCCUUGAGGAAUUUGACAUUCUCAAUGCCAAUGACAUGCUUCUUCUUCGCAAGCUGGUGCAAAUUCCUCAUGCCAGCAUGACCAAGUCAUCGAUGACAUAGCCAGCCUUCUGAGGCUUUUGCAAGUACGCAUACGGUCGGUUGUGGUCCUGUAGAGAAAUCAACAAUGUACAAGUCUCCUCUCCUAAAGCCUUCGAAGACUUUGGAAUUGUCAGCUUCCAUGAUCACAACACAACGAUAUUUGCCAAAGACAACAACCAUAUCAAGAUCACAAAGCAUUGAGACAGACAUGAGGUUGUAUCCUAAGGACUCGACAAGCAUGACUUUGUCCAUGUGUCGAUCCUUUGAGAUCGCAACCUUAACUAGACCCAAUACCUAACUUUUGGCUUUGUCAGCGAAGAUGAUAUGCUUCAGAUGCGAUGGUGAUAAAGGAGCAUCCAUCAAUAGAUUCUUGUCACCAGUCAUGUGAUUCGUACAUCCACUAUCGAGGACCCACUCAUUUGCUUUGGGUUGAUCAUCCGGCAUAUGAAUUAGUGCAACUUACGAACUCAUAUACUUCAUUAGUGAAGAAUAUGACAUCAAUAUCAUCAGAUCAAUUUCAUCAAGCAGAAGAACAGAUAAAACAGUAUGAGGACGUGAGAAAUGAAAGUUCAUUUCUUCAUGAUUAGCCUGCGUCCUUUCAGGCAAUCUUCAGGUAUCCAGCAAAUUCUUGAGAUGUUUCAAGCACGUCUGGAGAUCUACACCUGCAUAAGAGAUUAGUUCUUUUUCUUCACCGCCCACAUCUGAAGGGGUGGCAAAGAAUUCAUCACUCUGCGAACACCAUAUGAGAAAGGUGGCAUAGAAGCUAGUCCACUUCGUUUCACAUAAGAGGGGUUAGGAUAAGCAUAUGAAUAAGCAGAGAAAUUCUUCGAGGGCUUAUGAACAUAAUGAUUAGAAUAAUAAUGAUCAUAUUCAUAGCCCUUAGCUCUACCCUGCGAAACAGAGGGGUUAGCCCAAUGAUGAUCAUAUGAGGACUUUGAUCCUUUUGAGAAAUUUGAUCCACGUGAAGAAUUUGGUCCAUAUGAAGAAUUUGAUCUGGAGUUCCUAUUAUUCACAUGUGGUGUCAUGAGGACAUUCACCUGAAGACUUUCAAGGCAACUUUUGGGAACCCAGAUUUUCUUCAUAGGGGAAUCAUUCCUGCAAUUAGUGCCAACAUAUCUAGCAAAUACUUCACCAUUUUGAUUCUUGAAUAGUUUAUAGUUGGAGUCAAAUGACUCAUCAGAAGAAUGAGGAUAUUCACAUGUAAAGCUAGAUAAAUUGGAUGGAUCAACUGGAGGUCCCUUUGCAGCAACCCAUGAGGUUUUGGGGUACUGCUCGGGCUUCCAAUAUGUUCCAUCAGCAUUGAGUUUCCUCUCAAAGGCAAUACCCUCUUUCCUAGGGUUCUUGUUGAGGAUCUGCUUUUUAAGCACAUCACAAAGAGUCUGAUGCCCUUUGAGGCUUUUGUACAUGCUUGUGAUGUACAAUUCCUUCAGCCCUGCAUCAUCAGUGAUACUAGCAAUGUCCUCAGAUGAGGAAUUAGUGAUAGCAGAGACAGGUGAAGAAUUUGUAGCAUUAGAAGCAUUUGAACAUUCAGGUGAAGAAUUAGCAGUUUCACGUUCAAUGCACUUCAGACAUGGAGGAACAAAUUCUUCCUGAGUAGCGCUGAUUUGUUGAGCAAGUAAUGAGUCGUGCUCCUUCUAAAGAUCUUCAUAAUCCACUCUCAGUUUCUCAAGAUCUUGCUUUCUUUGAAGAAAUUCAUAAGAAAGCUUCUCGUGAUUAGAUAAGAGAGUGUUAUGAUGACCUUGAAGGGUGUCAAACUUGGACUGAAGUCUCUGAGGACUCUCAGCCAAAGCUUUUGACUGAUCCAUUUCUUCACCCAACAUAUCAUCGCUCUUAUUUAGCAUGUAUUGAACUUUUUCCAAAGCUCUUUGUUGUUUAGUGCCAAGGGAAGCAAGUUUGACAUAGCUGGGUCCAAAUUCAUCUCCAGAUUCAUCAUCACUGGACUCGGAUAGGUAGCAUUCGGUUACCUUAGCACUUUUUGCCAUAAGGCAUGGUGAAGAAGAUGAUGAUUCUGGUUCGAAUUUCAUCGUAUUGAGAGAUUCCUUGUAAUCUUCAAACUAAGGAUCAUGACGAGUUCGAUGACCUUCAUAGACCUCAAAGAGUCGGUCCCAAAUUAGCUUCGCGUGAUUGAGAUGCAUGACGUUCCUGAACUGAUUUUGGGACAAACAGAAGCAGAUGACAUCCUUCGCUGUGAGGUUGAGUAGAGUGUACUUGCGAAUGUCAUCAGCCUCUGCCAUCUUGCAUAGAUCGGUAAGACCAAUCUCAGUGACAGUCCACAGUUCGCUGUCCAUAGCCAUGAGUAGCUUCUUCAUCAAGGCCUUCCACCGAGGAUACUCAUGACCGUCAAAGAUGGGGCAGGAUAAAUUCCUCAUUCCUGCAGUCGACAUAACUAAAACUCCAGGCGGUUAAACCAAAAUCACACAGAACAAGGGAGAACCUUGCUCUGAUACCAAUUGAAAGUGUGUUAUAUCGACUAGAGGGUGGGUGAAUAGGCGAUUUUUAUGGAUUCUUCACUGAGGAAUUUGCUGGUGAGGAAAUUCCUAAAUGAAGAACUACUUGCAGCGGAAUAAGUACUCAAAAGUAAACAUAGCAGAACACAAGCAUAGUCAUCAUGAUGAAAUGAAGACAAGCACAGAGGACAGAAAGCGUAAGCACAGGAUAACACAGGAUGAAGACGGAUAGACUGAGGAAAUUGAACCGAGGAAAUUGAGAAAAGUCUUCAGUCAAAGUCUUCAAACAGAUAUGAACAAGCACACAACAACAGAAAUGAGGAAUUGAAAGAGUUGAGGAAAUAGAACCAGUAAGCUUGGUGAAGACAAUGAUUUGGUAGACCAGUUCCAACUGCUGUCUCAGUUGUACAUCUGGUUGGAGCGGCUGAGUAUUUAAACUCAAGGACAUACAGUCCCUGACACACAGUCCUCACCGUAUUCUCCUUGAGCUAAGGUCACACAGACCUCGCCCAAUCACUCGUGGUAAGUCUUUAGGUGACUUCCAAACCUUCACAGACUAGGUCACUCAGCGAUCCACAAUUCCUCUUGGAUGCUCUAGACCAUGAUGCCUAACCGUCUGGAAGAAGCACAGUCUUCAAAGGUAACAAGCGUCGGAUCCACGCAAGAUCAAUCUCUUCAGUGAUGCUCAAUGACUUUGGGUUGUAGGUGUGUUGGGUUUGGGUUUUCCUCACUUGAUGAUUUUCGCUCAAAGUCCUCGAAGGAUGGUAUGCUCUAAAAUGACAAGUGUCAGUUUCUCUCGGAGCAGCCAACCAGCUAGUGGUUGUAGGGGGCGGCUAUUUAUAGCCUAGGGAGCAGCCCGACAUGAUAAGACAUAAAUGCCCUUCAAUGAUAUGACCGUUAGGUGGGUAGAUAUUCUGGGACAGCUGGCGCAUAGCAUAGCAACGGUCGGAAUUUUGAUUCUUAAAUUCCUCAGGGCUAUCAUGUUCCUCACUAUGUAGGCAAUCCGCACUGGCAAAUUCCUAACUCCUCAGUCAGAAUAAAUUCCUCAGAGACCAGAAGAACUUCAUCUCUGUCACUGAAGAAAAUGACUGAACUGUAUGAGAUCUCCAAUGGCUUCACUCGAAGGGAUUGGUAGGUGUAGGAUUUUGAGUUGAGCAUCAUAUGGAAAUUUUUCCUUCGUAUUUCCUCGGCCCCCUUUAACAGUACGGUGUUUCAUAUGACUCAAGAAAGAGAAAAUGAAACUACGCAAACAAAAGUCUUCACGCUUCAUGUUCCUCGAAUGAUUGCCAAGUCUUCAAGGUCACACCCAAUUUCUUCACUUUCAAAGUCUUCAGAAAGUCUCCAGAAAUCCAAAGUCUUCAGUUUAAGAACUUCAUUUUUAGGGGUCGACUUUCUCUGUAAAUAUCAAACUCCUCAUAGACUUAUAGACCUGUGUACACUCACAAAUGCAUCAGUCCCUUAACCUAUAAGUCUUCAAUACACCAAAAUCACUAAGGGGCACUAGAUGCACUUACACAUUCUUUAUUCAUAUUGGUGUAAUAUCUACUGUAUUCCAACUUCUCUAUUGUUCAUAUCCUCCGAUACUACUCAUAAAUUCAUUAAAAUAAGCAAACAACACAUAGAAAACAGAAUCUAUCAAAAACAGAACAAUCUGUAUUAAUCUGCAACUCUCGAAUACUUUUGUAACUCCAAAAGUUCUAAAUUAAAUUGGUGGACAUGAGGAAAUUUUUCUAGUAAUAUUCUGCAAAAGUAAUAAACUUAAAAGCACUCUUUUGUAAUAAAUGCCAGCUAAUCUCGUGAGCGCAAAGUUUCUGUUUUUUACAGCAAGAUCACAUUAACUUUCACCCAAGUCUUCCCAAAGGUUCUACUUGGCAUGUUAUUGAAACAAAAGCUAUAAAAUAUUAUUACUACAGUAGCUUAAUCAUGUGUACACACAAAAACAGUAGGGGUAAAUACUGGGUUUUCUCCCAACAAGCGCUUUCCUUUAAUGCCUUUUUAGCUAGGCAUGAUGAUGACAAUGAUGCUCACAUAGAAGAUGAGAAUUGAAACAUAACGGGAGCAUCGUUAAGCAUAUGUCUAGCACAUUUAAGUCUAACCCGCUCCCUAUGCAUAGGGAUUUUGUGAGCAAACAACUUGUGGGAACAAGAACCAACUAGCAUAGGAAAGCAAAACAAGCAUAGCUUCAAGAUUUUCAACACAUAGAGAGGAAACUUGAUAUUAUUGCAAUUCCUACAAGCAUAUAAUCCUGCCUCAUAAUAAUUUUCAGUAGCAUCAUGAAUGAAUUCAACAAUAUAACCAUCACAUAAAUCAUUCUUUUCAUGAUCUGCAACCGUACAAAUUUUAUUACUCUCCACAUAAGCAAAUUUCUUCUCAUGAAUAGUAGUCGGAGCAAACUCAACAAAUAUCAUGUGAGGCAUAAUCCAAUUGAAAAUUAAAAUCAUGAUGACAAGAUUCAUGGUUAUCAUUAUUCUUUAUAGCAUGCAUGUUAUCACAAUAAUCAUCAUAUAUAGCAACUUUGUUCUCAUAAUCAAUUGGAACCUCUUCCGAAAUAGUAGAUUCAUCACUAAAUAAAGUCAUGACCUCUCCAAGUCCACUUUAAUCAAUAUAAUCAUCAUAGAUAGGAGGCAUGCUUUCAUCAUAAUAAAUUUGCUCAUCAAAACUUGGGGGACAAAAAAUAUCAUCUUCAUCAAACAUACCUUCCCCAAGCUUGUGGCUUUGCAUAUCAUUAGCAUCAUGGAUAUUCAAAGGAUUCAUACUAACAACAUUGCAAUCAUGCUCAUCUUUCAAAGAUUUAUUGCCAAACAUUUUAAUGCAUUCUUCUUCUAGCACUUGAGCACAAUUUUCCUUCCCAUCAUUUUCACGAAAGACAUUAAAAAGAUGAAGCAUGUGAGGCACCCUCAAUUCCAAUUUUUUGUGGUUUUCUUUUAUAAACUAAACUAGUCAUAAAACAAGAAACAAAAAGAUUCAAUUGCACGAUUUAAAUAUAUACCUCCAAGCACUAAUCUCCCCGGCAAUGGCGCCAGAAAAGUGCUUGAUGUCUACUACACAACCUUCUUCUUGUAGACAUUGUUGGGACUCCAAGUGCAGAGGUUUGUAGGAAAGUAGCAAAUUUCCCUCAAGUGGAUGACCUAAGGUUUAUCAAUCCGUAGGAGGCAUAGGAUGAAGAUGGUCUCUCUCAAACAACCAUGCAACCAAAUAACAAAGAGUCUCUUGUGUCCCCAACACACCCAAUACAAUGGUAAAUUGUAUAGGUGCAUUAGUUCGGCGAAGAGAUGGUGAUACAAGUGCAAUAUGGAUGGUAGAUAUGAGUAUUUGUAAUCUGAAAAUAUAAAAACAGCAAGGUAACAAGUAAUAAAAGUGAGCGAAAACGGUAUUGCGGUGGUAGGAAAUAAGGCCUAGGGUUCAUACUUUCACUAGUGCAAGUUCUCUCAACAAUAAUAACAUAAUUGGAUCAUAUAACUAUCCCUCAACAUGCAACAAAGAGUCACUCCAAAGUCACUAAUAGCAGAGAACAAACAAAGAGAUUAUUGUAGGGUACGAAACCACCUCAAAGUUAUUCUUUUCGAUCAAUCCAUUGGGCUAUUCCUAUAAGUGUCACAAACAACCCUAGAGUUCGUAGUAAAAUAACACCUUAAGACACAAAUCAACCAAAACCCUAAUGUCACCUAGAUACUCCAAUGUCACCUCAAGUAUCUGUGGGUAUGAUUAUAAGAUAUGCAUCACACAAUCUUAGAUUCAUCUAUUCAAACCAACACAAAGUACUUCAAAGAGUGCCCCAAAGUUUCUACCGGAGAGUCAAAGGAAAACUUGUGGCAACCCCUAUGCAUAAGUUCACAAGGUCACUGAACCCGCAAGUUGAUCACCAAAACAUACAUCAAGUAGAUCACGUGAAUAUCCCACUGUCACCAUGGAUAAGCACAUGCAAGACAUAUAUCAAGUGUUCUCAAAUCCUUAAAGACUCAAUCUGAUAAGAUAACUUCAAAGGGAAAACUCAAUCCAUUACAAGAGGGUAGAGGGGAGAAACAUCAUAAGAUCCAACUAUAAUAGCAAAGCUCGCGGUACAUCAAGAUCGUACCAUAUCAAGAACACGAGAGAGAGAGAGAGAGAGAGAGAGAGAGAGAGAGAGAGAGAGAGAUCAAACACAUAGCUACUAGUACAUGCCCUCAGCCCCGAGGGUGAACUACUCCCUCCUCGUCAUGGAGAGCGCCGGGAUGAUGAGGAAGGCCACCGGUGAUGGAUUCCCUCUCUGGCAGGGUGCCAGAACGGGCUCUCGAGAUGUUUUUGGUGGUUACUGAGGCUUGCGGUGGCGGAACUCCCGAUCUAGAUUUCUUUGCGGGGGUUUCUAUAUUUAUAGGAAUUUUUGGCGUCGGUCUUACGUCAGGGGGGUCUUCGAGUCAUCCAGUAGAUAGGGGCGCGCCCAGGGGGGUAGGGCGCACCCUCCACCCUCGUGGACGGCUCAGGACUCUUCUGGCCCAACUCUUUUACUUCGAGGGCUUCUUUUGGUCCAUAAAAAAUCAUCAAAAAUUGGCACGUCAAUUGGACUCCAUUUGGUAUUCCUUUUCUGUAAAACUCAAAAACAAGAAAAAAUAGAAACUGACACUGGGCUCUAGGUUAAUAGGUUAGUCCCAAAAAUCAUAUAAAAUAGCAUAUAAAUGCACAUAAAACAUCCAAGAUGGAUAAUAUAAUAGCAUGGAACAAUCAAAAAUUAUAGAUACGUUGGAGACGUAUCAACUUCCCUCCGGGAGGGGGAAAUCGAAGCCAUCAUCGUCACCAACGACCCUCUCAUCAUGGGAGGACCAAUCUUCAUCAACAUCUCACAAGCACCAUCUCAUCUCAAACCCUAGUUCAUCUCUUGUAUUCAAUCUUUGUAUCAAAACCUCUGAUUGGUACCUGAGGGUUGCUAGUAGUGUUGAAUACAUCUUGUAGUUGAUGCUAGUUGGUUUAUUUGGUGGAAGAUCAUAUGUCCAGAUCCAUUAUGCUAUUCAAUAACCCUAUGAUCUUGGACAUGAAUAUGAUGUGUGAGUAGUUACUUUUGUUCUUGAGGACAUGGGAGAAGUCUUGUCAUAAGUACUCAUCUGAUUUGGUAUUCGUUCGAUAUUUUGAUGAUAUGUAUGUUGUUGAUUCCCUUAGUGGUUAUGUGAACAUCGACUACAUGACACUUCACCAUCUUUGGGCCUAAAGGAUUGCAUUGUGGAGUAGUAAUUAGAUGAUGGGUUGCUAGAGUGACAGAAGUUUAAACCCUAGUUUAUGCGCUAUUCCGUAAGGGGCUGAUUUGAAUCCAUAUGUUUAAUGUUAUGGUUAGAUUUACCUUAAUUCUUAUUUCAUAGUUGCGGAUGCUUGCGACAGGGGUUAAUCAUAAGUGGGGGGCUUGUUCAAGUAAGAACAACACCCAAGCACCGGUCCACCCACAUAUCAAAUUAUUAAAGUAGUGAACGUGAAUCAAACGAACAUGAUGAAAAUGACAAGAUGAGAUUCCCGUGUGUCCUCAAGAAUGCCUAGCUUAUUAUAAGAGAUUGUUCCGACCUGUCCUUUGCAACUAAAAGGAUAAGCUACCUUGCAACACCGUAGUUACUACUGCUACUUGUCACUUGUUACAAAUUAUCUUGCUACCAAACUACUCGUUACUGAUAAUUUUAGUGCUUGCAGAAAAUACCUUGUCGAAAACCGUUUGUCAGUUCCUUCUGCUCAUCAUUGGGUUUGACACUCUUAAUUAUUGAAAGGACUGUGAUUGAUCCCCUGUAUUUGUGGGUCAUCACUAACCCACACCACCUCAACCCCCACUGAAGAGAACCACCGGUCAUCACCAACCUAUGUCAAGUUUCACAUAUCCCUCGAACCACCCGACCGAGCCCGAACAACAUGUUACAUAUUUUUUGCACUAAAAUAGGCUUUCAAUCUCUAACAUCUUAUGUUGUGGCAUCUCCAACAGGUGAGUGAAGUGUUCCAUUAGACUUCAGCUCCACCUUCAAUAUGAUUCCAUGGUGGUUGUACGUGCCACUCUGUGCCCGUCAACUUUAAGCUCUCAUGUGUACAUCAUCUCGAAUCAACCCGCGCCAUCGCCAUGAUUCAGUGCACAAGCCCUCAGGCAUGCGCCAUAUGUUUCCACGCUGAUAAGUUGGUUAAUCACUCUCCUAUGUCAUUGUCAUCAAUAUCACCAUCAUCUUUUAUUUUAACCGUCAUGCAUGUCAAUAUGCUAGACUGUCCAAGCUAUCCAUCCUAUAUGUCUAACACUAGUUGAACUUGUCCAACUGCAACCAUGCACCACACCACACCAUGUCAACCCAACACACCAUCAUGCAUUGCUCAACAUCUGUGUAGAACAUGAUCCUUUGCUCGGCGUCUUUGUAGAACACGAUCCUUUUUGAUACGCUCCAGGCUCCGAAAUCAUCUUCCAUGAAUUCUCAUCCGUGAUAUUUCCAUAUCAGCAAGCUUGAAUUUUCGUAGUCGAGAAGCAUCUCUAUUGUUCCAAUACAUUUUUAGUCUUGUUUGCAUGGUUUUCCUACUUAAUCAUUUUAUCUUGACUCAAUCAUUCCCUACUCCAUUUAUAACCCUCUAAUUUUUUGUUUGGUGGGAAAAGCAUGAUAUUAUCAUCAUGUAGUUUUAUAGUAAUAAAUGCCAUAAGAAUACAAGAGUCUUAUAAACCAACAAAAUCAGAAAAGGGAAGGAAAGCUAAAUGUUUGCCGUGCAAUGCUCUAGAUUGGAGAAGGAUGUUUUUCCUUGAAAAAUGUCAGUUUUCAUUGAGAAUGGAGGUCCUAGAAGCUAUCAGCUAUGUAAAUUCUUGAACUACUACUUCCAAUCAUAUGUUUUUGUUUGUUUGUUUUCUUCUAGGUUCGGCCAAACCCACUGGGAGUUGCGGGGUCCAUGCGUGACGUCAGGCUCUACCAUUGUAGCUAUUAGAAGCUGAUUUCUCCAUCAUAAAGUUGUUGCUCUUGGUUCCUUUCAUUGGGUUUCUAGCCUCGGUGUUAAUCAACCCUCCCGUAAUAUGUCGCCAGUUAGUACUUUAGCCCUCACCAUGAAUUACCUUUUUCAUGGCAUCAAUUACAUGAGCAUGAAUAAAAAGCACAAGAAAUUAUUCUCUUCGUGACUUACAUGACCAUGGAUAUAUGCACCUUAAAUUAAUCUUUUCAAUACAUCAUUCAUAUGACUAAAGGUUGUAUCUACAUAGAAAGAACUGAAUACCAAGAACCCGUAGUGUGGUGUUUUUUGAGAGAAAAUACUAUAAUGUAUGUUGGAUGUCUCUACUUGUGAGAAAGAUACAAAGAAUAAUACGUAUGUAGACAUGGAAGAUCUUCGCCACUUAACAUGGCCAAUCAAUUUGUUGUUAAACGUUGACUUCCACUAUCCUAAUACUCCUCUAAGAGCGUUUAUAGCCGGACUUAACAAAUAUGCCCCCCUAAACACCCACGGACGCGCCCGAUCAGUGACUGAGCGUGUCCAUUUUGAACCUCUAUUUGUCCGUCCAUGCAGCCAUACUCCUCAUUUUCUCCUUUAUAUGUCCAUUCACGUGCGUGUGAUUGGUGGAGAUGAAGAGAAAGAGAGAAAAGAAUAAAUAAACAAAGAUAAAAUGCAGUCUGGGAUGGGACGCGUCCUACGUGGCGGACUGACCGGCAAAUCCGUGAGUCCUCAUAUUCUCCCUACAUUUGUCCUCAGUAUGAGGGUUCGAGGACAGUCUGGACGUAUAGGGAUGAUGUGAGGGGUCCGGUUGGAUCACUUUUUCCCUUCUCUCUCCUGUCUGGUCACCGACCAGUCGCGUCCACGAACGUUUGAGGGGGAUUUGAGGAACCUGGUUGUAGAUUCUCUAACAUUUUGCCCAUAUGGUAUGGUGCUCCUGUAAUUUUUUUACAUGGCAAUGUGCAGUUUUCGUAGCCCACAUUCUUCUUUAUUUAUAUUCAUUAGAUAUUUCUUGCUUAUUUUUCUAUGCUCCAAAUCUUCUUGCUAGGUUUUGACGCUCUUAGGAAUAAUUCAAAAGGUAUUCCUUGUUAUGUUUUUCAAGGACCUCAUCAUGCCUAGCGGGGUGCGGCCCUAGACGGCCUUGCGUUCAGCGGAGAUCGGAAUCGGGACGGUGGUCCCGGGACUUUUUGGUGGUGGCUUCGCUGCGGUGGCUGCGAGGGUAGGCCGGCUGCUGCCUAUGGAUCCAAGCAGCGAUGGCCGCGGCGACAUCUGCGCCGGUGGUUGAAGAAUCAAAGACGGAGAUGUCAUCCAUGGCAGCGGCAGUCACUUGCGAUUCGACUCUUCCCUGAUUUGAAAUAGAAUACAACAUAUCAGGGGUACUACGUGGCCACGGGUGCAGCUGGACAACUGAAGGGAUUCAUUUUCCCAAGCUUGUCAUCAGCUAAUGGCAAGGACGGCAUGGGCCUGCCAGAGGGGCCCUUAACAUGGGUUUUGGCGGUGCUUGGCAGUCGUGUCAUCGCCCGACGGCAAGCUCAUAUGAGCACAACUUUGGUCGCGUUGAUCAACCAUGCGCGUGAGCAGUGGUUGGAAAGCCCAACAAUCAGGUUGAAGACAUUCUGAGAUGUCAUGUUCCAUGGUCCUCAUGCACGAGAUGCAUAUUCGUUGCCGAGUGGUCUGGGCGGCAUUGUCAAGGACAAAAGGAAUGAAGGUGGUGGUCAAGCGGAUGCGACAUAACAUUGUGCCUGUGUUUUGGGGGUGCUAAUUCAAUAUCAGGACUGGAGUUUCAGGGUGAAAACCCUUGGUGUGACCUUCGUUGGUCAUACCUGCAAUGGCGGUGUUUUGACAUCGUUACCUUGUUGAAGUCAUGGCAUAAAAUUUUGCUCAGCUCUGCUCUCAUGGUGAAAACACAAGAUUUAGUCUUUGAUUAAAUCCGGCAACGGUGACACUUAUGCGUCCUUAUCUUUCUGAAGACGUUGCUUUUGGAGAACCUUCUCGCAUCAUGUGUGUUGUCAUGGUAGUGGUUGAUGUUGCUGUUGGUUACUGCGUGCCUUAGAUCUUGGUUUCUUCUUUCUUUCUUUUGUUCUUGUUUUAUUUUUUGGCUUUGUGAAUCCUCAAUGCCUUGACUUGAUCGCCGCAUUGUGUUGUUGCAGAGGCCAGGUGUACUUGAUAUCGUCUUGAUAUUAAUAUAUUACCCUUUGUCGAUUUUUUUUGAUUCAUUUUAGAAUUUAUUGGUCCUAUUUUAUCGUAAAUCACUCCAAUGCAUACUNNNNNNNNNNCCUUGACAUCUCUUACUCUGAUGAUAUCUUCCAUUUGUAUCUUUGCAGGGGCAUCUCACUUUCUUGUUGCAUGUUGAUUUCUGAGUCAAAUUCCUUACUCAGUGCCACAAUUUCAUCUAUAGGCAUAUACGAAAUACAUGUUUAUGUUCCACAAGGAAUUCAUUCUUACGGUAUCUUUAUCUUCCACUUUCGGUCAUGUUUUAGACCAUCAAUUUUAGGGUUGACGUGAAUAUCAAAUGCAAACGGAAUCCAAAAAUUUAUGUGUGUUUCUCUAUCUUCUAAAAUUCUAAGCUCCUAGGAAUGAUGGCACUCCAUCGGGGCUUUGGGUCACUAGUAUGCCCAUCUGGAAGGGAGUGAAUCAUUAUUGUGUGUCGCGUUUGGGUCAACUCCCAAUUGAACAUGGCACACAUAUGUUGUUUUCUGUGUUAAAAAUAAGAAUAGCACAACCACACAUAUAAGAACUUAGUUCACCUCGAACAUAACAUACUGCUUCCACUUCCAUCAUAUAAAAGUGAAGCAAAAAAAAAA